CCAACUUAACUUUGGAACAUGUGAUGCGUAGGUUGGAUAUCAUUGAAAAUAAAGUUGCUACGAUUGAACUCAUUGAGAAUUUGGAUAAAAAGAUCCACAAUCAAAUCACUCAGUACGGAUCCAAGGUGGGAAUGGCUUUGAAAAAUCUAAAGGAGAGGGAACCCACAGUUAACAAAAACUAGGUCAUCAUUCCGCUAGGAUUGGCAAACUAGAGGAUGUUAUAACCAACUUGGGUUCCGCUUUUGCCGCUGUGCAGAACACUCCAAUUUUUACCCACAAUAAGGCCACCAAGUUUGUUUUUGUUCCUAAAAAUAGUGGUGAACCAUCUAGUAAUAUAGAUGAAGACCUUAAGAUGAUGAGGGCUAUUUAUGGUUUGAGCACCAAAGACGAGGAUAUGUGAUUCUUUCACCUUAUGCCUAGCUAAGGGCGUUAAACAAUAACGCUUGUUGGGAGGCAACCCAAUGAAUUUAUAUUUGAUUUUUGCUUUCUGUUUUGUUGCGUCCACACCAUCAUAAUUCUGUUAUGAUUGUGUCUUUUGUGUUUGAGCCAAGUAAAACCUUUAUGACUAGUUUGGUGAUGGUUGUUUGAUCCUGCUGGAAAAAGACAGAAACUUUUCGCUCACGAAAUUAUUUUUCAUUUUAAUCCAUAAAGAGAUUUUGAGUUGAUUCUUUUUGUUGCUGGUUGAUAUGGCAAUUGCCCAAACUGUCGUAAUGUUUCAGAAUUGUUGAGAUACCAGAAGUAUACGAAGUAUACAGAUUGCUACAGACUGGUCUGUUUUUGACAUAUUCUGUUUUUGUUGUGUUGGUUGCUUGUUUUGAUGAAACUAUGUAUAGUAUCGGGGGGGGCGGGUACUGAUACGUCUCCAUCGUAUCUACUUUUCCAAACUCUUUUGCCCUUGUUUUGGACUCUAAUUUGCAUGAUUUGAAUGGAACUAACCCGGACUGACGUUGUUUUCAGCAGAAUUGCCAUGGUGUUGUUUUUGUGCAGAAAUGAAAGUUCUCGGAAUGUCUUGAAACUUUACGGAGAAUAUUUAUGGAAAAUAUGAAAAAUACCUGUGCAAAGAUCCACCGGAGGGGACGGGCCAGUGGGCCACAAGCCCUGUAGCCGCGGCCUCCCCUCUGGUCGCGGCUACGAGGCUUGUGGGGCCCACGUGCCUCUGCCGCCCCCAAUUCCAGCGCUAUAUAUUCCCUUUCAUCCCGGAAAAAAUCAAGAGAGAAGAGUUCAUUGCGUUUCACGAUCCAGAGGCGCCUCCACAUCCCGUUCUUGCCCUGGAGGGCAGAUCUGGAGUCUGUUUUGUGCUCCGGAUCAAGGAGAUCGUCGCCAUCGUCAUCAUCAACCUUCUUCCCUCUCCAAUUCCAUGAAACUCUUCAUCGUUCGUGAGUAAUCUAUUCAUAGGCUCGCUGGGCGGUGAUGAGUAUGAUGAGAUCUAUCAUGUAAUCGAGUUAGUUUUGACGGGGAUUGAUCCCUAGUAUCCACUAUGUUCUGAGAUUGAUGUUGCUACUACUUGGCUAUGCUUAAUGCUUGAAACUAGGGCCCGAGUGCCAUGAAUUCAGAUCUGAACCUAUUAUGUUGUCACCAAUAUAUGUGUGUUUUAGAUCCGAUCUUGCAAGUUGUAGUUACCUACUAUGUGUUAUGAUCCGGCAACCCCGGAGUGACAAUAACCGGAACCACUCUCAUUGAUGACCAUAGUUUGAGGAGUUUAUGUGUUCACCAAGUGCUAAUGCGUUGGUCCGGUUCUUUAUUAAAAGGAGAACCUUAAUAUCCCGUAGUAUCCAUUUGGACCCCGCUGCCACGGGAGGGAUGGACAAUAGAUGUCAUACAAGUUCUUUUCCCUAAGCACGUAUGACUACACACGGAAUGCAUGCCUACAUCACAUUGACGAACGGGAGCUAGCCACAUAUCUCUCCGUGUUAUAACUGUUGCAUGAUGAAUGUCAUCCAACAAAUCACUGAUCCAUUGCCUACGAGUUUGUCCCACUGCUAUUGUUACUUGCUGCUGCUGUUACUUGCUUUGCUCUGCUGCUGUUACUACGGUUGCUGCUACUGUUACUUGCUUCUACUAUUACUUGCUUCGUCAUGCUGCUGCUGCUACUACUGUUGCUACUACUGUUACUUGCUGUUGCUGUUACUUGCUACUGUUGCUAAUUGCUACUCCUAUCACUACUGCUGUUCCUUGCCACUACUGUUACUCGUUACACUGCUGCUACCUGCUACAAUACUUUUCUGGUGCCAUUGAUACUUCAGUUAGGAAUAAUCUGUCGUCAACAGAUUCUUUCCUAGCACCGUUGCUAUCAUACUACCUUUGCUGCUUAUAUACUGCUUGCAGAUACUAAUCUUUCAAUUGUGUUUGAGCCAACAACUCAACUGCUAAUACUGGAGAAUAUCCUUUCAUUCCCAUCGUGUCGAACCAACAAAUUUGGGUUGAAUACUCUACCCUCAAAACCUGCCGCGAUCCCACACGCUGGUGGGCCAUUGCAAGACAAUUGCUAAUUGUUGAGCAACUGGAAACAACUCUUUUUUGGCACCGUUGCCGAGGAGGAAUAGCUAUAUUCUCUGAGUCACUUGGGAUUUAUAUCUUGUGAUCACUAUGAAGAAUCGGAAAGAUCUGAGAACCAAAGUCUUGCCCUCAACUCUGAGGGGAGGUAAGGAACUGCCAUCUAGCUCUGCACUUGAUUCACCUUCAGUUAUGAGUAAGUUUGCGACACCACCUCGUGCUAGAAAUCUUGAUAUGUCGCGUGUGCUAGAUGAUGCUAGAGAUGCUACUGCUAUUGAUGAUGCUUAUGAUGAUACUAUGCCUGAUACUGCUAGAGAUGCUAUGCGUGAUACUGCUAGAGAUGCUAUGCCUGAUACUGCUAUCCAUGAUGCUAUGCUUGAUGCUGCUUUGCCUGAUGAUGCUAGAGAUGCUAUUUUGCCUGAUUAUGCUAUGCUUGAUACUGCUAGAGAUACUACUUUGCCUGAUAUGCCACUAGGGGUAUUCCUUGAUGCUCAUAUUGCUAGAGUUAUUGCCAAUGCUCGUGAUGCUUCUGAAACUCUCGAUACUAUUGAGAUAGAACCUGCUUUUGCUCCUGCUAGAUCUAGCUCUCCUAGAUAUGAAUUGCCUGAUAUACCUGAGGGUUAUGUUAUGGAGGGAGAGAUAGCUGAGGAUUUUCUUGCGUGUAAGGAUGGCUAUGACGCUGAGAAAUUACUUCUCAAGUGGAAGGAAAAAUCUCUGAAAGCUAGGAUGAAAUACAACCCGAAGUUUGCCACUUCACCUAUCUUUAUCACCGAUGAGGAUUAUGAAUUCUCUGUCGACCCUGAGAUAAUCUCUCUUGUCGAAUCUGAUCCUUUCCACGGUAAUGAGUUUGAGACGGUCGUAGCCCAUCUUACCAAACUACACGAUAUAGCCACCCUUUUCACUAGUGAGGAGAAGAUCCGCUACUACUAUAUCCUUAAGUUGUUUCCUUUCUCUCUAAAGGAUGACGCUAAAUCCUAGUUCACUUCUCUUGCUCCUGGAUGUGUGAGUAGUCCCCAGGAUAUGGUCUAUUACUUCUGUGAGAAAUAUUUCCCUGCCCAUAAGAAGCAAGCUGCCUUGCAGGAAAUAUACAACUUUGCUCAACUCAAAGAAGAGUGUCUCCCACAAGCUUGGGGGAGGCUCAUCCAGCUACAGAAUGCUUUGCCUGAUCACCCUCUUAAGAAGAACGAGAGACUUGAUAUCUUCUAUAACAGACUUACCGAUGCUUCUAGAGACCACCUAGAUAGUUGUGCCGGUUGUGUUUUUAGGGAACGAAUUGUAGAACAAGUUGAGAUCCUACUGAAUAACAUCUUGAUCAACAAUAAUGCUUGGACUAUUCCCGAACCACCUCCUAAGCCAUAUCCCAAGAAAAGAGGUAUUCUAUUCCUCAGUCCUGAAGAUAUGCAAGAAGCCAAGAAAUCUUUGCAAGAGAAAGGCAUUAGAUCUGAAGAAAUCAAAAAUCUACCGCCUAUCGAAGAGAUCCAUGCUCUCGAUAACCCGAUACAAGUAGUAGAGGUGAAUUCUCUGCGUAGAUUCAAUGAGAGUGAUAUUCCUUUUGAUAAACCUGCUAGCCUAUGCUUUGAUGAAUUUGACAACUUUGUUGCCAAACAACAAAGUUUCAAUGAUUAUGUUAGCAGACAAUUGGAACAACGUACUCACAUGCUUAGUCAUUUAAGUGCUUGUGUAGAGAGAAAUGUCAAUGAUCUGAAGCUUCUGAGUAAACAUGCCUCAAUGAUUACUACUCAGGUAGAACAAGUACUUAAAGCUCAGAAUGACGUGCUCAAUGAAUUAAUGACAACUCUGUCAGAGUCAUUACUAGAGGAGGCAAAAUGACUCAGGAACCCUUGUAUCCUGAAGGCCAUCCUAAGAGAAUUGAUCAACAUUCUCAAGGUAUUAAUGCUCAUACACCCAGUCAUCCUAAGAAUAAGAAGAAGGAUGAUAGAAACCUACAUGUCAGUUCACCAAAUACUGUAACACCUGAAGAACCAAAUGAUAUUUCUGCGUCUGAUGCAGAAACACAAUCUGGUGAUGAACAUGAACCUGGUGACAAUAUGGACAGCGAUGUUCAUAAUAAUGCUCAACCUAGCAAUGAUAAGGAUGUGGAGAUUGAACCUACGGUUAAUCCUGAUAACCCACAACCUAAGAGGUACGAUAAGAAUGACUUCACUGCUAGGAGGCAUGGUAAAGAAAGGGAGCCAUGGGUUCAGAGACCCAUGCCCUUUCCUCCUAAGCCAUCCAAGAAAAAGGAUGAUGAUGAUUUUGAGCGCUUUAUUGAAAUGUUGAGACCCGUCUUUCUGCGUAUGCGGUUAAUUGAUAUGCUCAAAAUGUCUCCAUAUGCCAAGUACAUGAAAUAUAUCGUGACCAAUAAACGGAAGAUACCAGAUCUUGAGAUCUCCACCAUGCUUGCCAAUUACACUUCCAAAGGUGGAACUCCUAAGAAACUUGGUGAUCCCGGAGUGCCCACUAUACCUUGCUCCAUUAAAGGAAACUACGUAAGAACUGCCUUAUGUGACCUUGGAGCCGGUGUUAGUGUUAUGCCUCUCUCUCUCUUUAUCGUAGACUUGAACUGGAUAAGUUGACACCCACUGAAAUUUCUCUGCAAAUGGCCGACAAAUCAACUGCUUUCCCUGUCAGCAUUUGCGAGGAUGUGCCUGUUGUGGUUGCUAACGUUGCUAUCUUAACGGACUUUGUUAUCCUGGAUAUUCCUGAGGAUGAUGCCAUGGCGAUCAUUCUUGGAAGACCAUUCUUAAACACUGCAAGGGCUGUUAUAGAUUGCAGCAAAGGCAAUGUCACCUUCCAUGUCAACGGUAAUGAGCAUACAGUGCACUUUCCAAAGAAACGAUAUCAAGUACAUUGCAUCAAUGCUAUCGAAAAAACAUCAUCGAUUCUUAUUGGGAGCUUUGAAUUCCCUAUUCCUCGUGUUAAGAUGAAGUAUGAUUUGCUUGUUGGGGAGAUUCAUGUCCCCAUUGAGGUGACUUAGUGGCUAUUCGACAAUUCUCUGUUUCCUUUUGCGAUUCGAAAAGGUUUUGUCGAGGGGAUUUGAUCAACCCCAUUGACGGAUUUCUUUCGAUGACCAUGAAAUGGAUGAAUCAAGGAGUCACAUACCUCUGUUUUAAGCUUUCACUUUCUGUUGUUUAGAAGGAAAAAUGAUAGAUUUAGUUUAGUUUUUCCUGUUUUCUGUUUUAGCGUCCCAGAGAAAAGUAUCCCGAAAAUAGAAGUUCUACGAUGGCCCUGAAAAUCAAAUAUGAUUUUUUCUGGUUUUUUUGAAAAAUACUGGGACUGAGAGCUGGCCUGGGAGCCACACCAGUGGGCCACAAGCCCUGUAGCCGCGGCCUCCCCUGGCCGCGGCUACCAAGCUUGUGGGGCCCACAGGGACCCCCUCCACUCAUUCUAGCUCCCAUCCUCUUCUUCUACCUCCAGAAAAAAUCGUUUUACAGCUCCAACCCGUGCUCUUGCUCAUUUGGCUGUGAUUUUCGAUCUCCUUGCUCAAAGCACCAUUCUACGAACCGUUUUGGGGAAAUUACUCCUUGGUAAGUGACUCCUCCAUUGGUCCAAUUAGUUACUCUAGUGCUUUAUCCUUCGCGUAUUCUUUCUACCUUGGUGACCCUGUUCUUGAACUUGAAAUGUUGAUUUUAGUUCGUCCCAAGUAGUUUUAACGCGUGAUACGGUCUCUAGGCACUAGUAGGAGUAGUUGCUACAAGGUUUGGUUGGUCUUUAUUCACUUUUCUCUUGAACUUCAAAAAUUUCAGCAAAAAUAAAUUAUGUUUAGGAGGAAGUUUCAUGGUGGUUCCUCAAGUAAGAAGGGUCCCCGUCUUUCUAUUAAGGAGCCCGAUCCUUAUGAACUAAGGGACGCACCGGUACAACCAUGUGAAUGGCCUUCCGAUGAGUUCAUGAUCGAAGCAGGCUUCAAGGAUGAGUUUGAUACACUUGUCCACAAUGCCGAGUUAGAAGAAUUCCUCUCAGAUAAAUGUGAACAGUAUGCUAUGCUCACUGCCUCUUUCAUGCGUAGAUUUAAAUUUUUAGUUGGCCGUGACUCAUCCAUACUGUUUGAUCUGUAUGAUAAAUCCUACACCAUGGAUUUGGAGGAUUUCAAUAGGAUUUGCAAGAUACCCGAUGGGGGUAGUCUUAAUGAUCCUGCUAAGUCUUCGGUUAGAUAUUUUUUUUCUCUAGUAUAACUGUUGGAGAAACUAGAGACAUCACGCAAGCUACCAUAGGAAGCAUUCAUUUCCCUGCCUUGCACUACUUUGCCCUCUUCAUAGGUAGAUGCAUUAACGGCAAGGUUGAACAUUGUCACCUAUGCGCAUCCGACCUUAGUAUCCUUAAGAGCGCAAUAACAGGUGACAGGAGCUUCAACAUGGGAGCUAUAAUAGCAAGGAGGCUGAAUAAUAAUGCCAUUGAUAUUAGUUUACCGUGAGACCUAUGUGUCACUUGCUUAUGUGGUUAACUUGUGAUCUUGCUGAAAUUCUGGUUAUGAGUUAGACAUAGUUGCAACAUCAAGAUCAAACAGAGUUUGUCAAAGUUUUUCGUUCUCUUUUAGUUUGUCAACUGAGUUGCUUGAGGACAAGCAAGGUUUUAAGCGUGGGGGAGUUGAUACGUCUCCAUCGUAUCUACUUUUCCAAACUCUUUUGCAAUUGUUUUGGACUCUAAUUUGCAUGAUUUGAAUGGAACUAACCCGGACUGACGCUGUUUUCAGCAGAAUUGCCAUGGUGUUGUUUUUGUGCAGAAAUGAAAGUUCUCGGAACGUCUUGAAAAUUUACGGAGAAUAUUUCUGGAAAAUAUGAAAAAUACCUGCGCAAAGAUCCACCGGAGGGGACGGGCUAGUGGGCCACAAGCCCUGUAGCCGCGGCCUCCCCCCUGGUCGCGGCUACCAGGCUUGUGGGGCCCACGUGGCUCUGCCGCCCCCAAUUCCAGCACUAUUUAUUCCCUUUCGUCCCGGAAAAAAUCAGGAGAGAAGAGUUCAUCGCGUUUCACGAUCCAGAGGCGCCGCCACAUCCCGUUCUUGCCCUGGAGGGUAGAUCUGGAGUCCGUUUUGGGCUCCGGAUCAAGGAGAUCGUCGCCAUCGUGAUCAUCAACCUUCUUCCCUCUCCAAUUCCAUGAAGCUCUUCAUUGUUCGUGAGUAAUCUAUUCGUAGGCUCGCUGGGCGGUGAUGAGUAGGAUGAGAUCUAACAUGUAAUCGAGUUAGUUUUGACGGGGAUUGAUCCCUAGUAUCCACUAUGUUCUGAGAUUGAUGUUGCUACUACUUGGCUAUGCUUAAUGCUUGUCACUAGGGCCCGAGUGCCAUGAAUUCAGAUCUGAACCUAUUAUGUUGUCACCAACAUAUAUAUGUGUUUUAGAUCCGAUCUUGCAAGUUGUAGUUACCUACUAUGUGUUAUGAUCCGGCAACCCUGGAGUGACAAUAACCGGAACCACUCCCGGUGAUGACCAUAGUUUGAGGAGUUCAUGUGUUCACCAAGUGCUAAUGCGUUGGUCCGGUUCUUUAUUAGAAGGAGAACCUUAAUAUCCCGUAGUAUCCAUUUGGACCCCGCUGCCACGGGAGGGAUGGGCAAUAGAUGUCAUACAAGUUCCUUUCCCUAAGCACGUAUGACUACACACAGAAUGCAUGCCUACAUCACAUUGACGAACGGGAGCUAGCCACAUAUCUCUCCGUGUUAUAACUGUUGCAUGAUGAAUGUCAUCCAACAAAUCACCGAUCCAUUGCCUACGAGUUUGUCCCACUGCUAUUGUUACUUGCUGCUGCUGUUACUUGCUUUGCUCUGCUGCUGUUACUACUAUUGCUGCUACUGUUACUUGCUUUGUCAUGCUGCUGCUGCCACUACUGUUGCUACUACUGUUACUUGUUGUUGCUGUUACUUGCUACUGUUGCUACUUGCUACUGCUGUCACUACUGCUGUUCCUUGCCACUGUUGUUACUCGUUACACUGCUGCUACCUGCUAGAAUACUUUUCUUGCGUCAUUGAUACUUCAGUUAGGAAUAAUCUGCCGUCAACAGAUUCUUUCCUAGCACUGUUGCUAUCAUACUACCUUUGCUGCUUAUAUCCUGCUUGCAGAUACUAAUCUUUCAGGUGUGGUUGAGCCGACAACUCAACUGCUAAUACUUGAGAAUAUCCUUUCACUCCCAUUGUGUCGAACCAACAAAUUUGGGUUGAAUACUCUACCCUCGAAAACUGCCGCGAUCCCACACGCUGGUGGGCCAUUGCAAGACAAUUGCUAAUUGUUGAGCAUCUGGAAGUAGGUACUAGCCAUGGAAAAGUGAGAAUACAGUAAUCUAACACCAAUAUAAAUAGAAAUCAAGUUUGCUACAGUACCUCAAGAGGUGGUAGUUUGUUUUCUUGUGCUAAUAAUAUCACGAGUUUCUGUUUAAGUUUUGUGUUGUGAAGUUUUCAAGUUUUGAGUGAUGUUCUCAUGGCCAAAGGGAUAAAGAGUGGAAAGAGCUCAAUCUUGGGGAUGCCCAAGGCACCCCAAGACAAAUUCAAGGACACCAAAAAGCCUAAGCUUGGGGAUGCCCCGGGAAGGCAUCCCCUCUUUCGUAUUCAAUCCAUCGGUAACAUUACUUCGAGCUAUAUUUUUAUUCACCACAUGGUAUGUGUUUUGCUUGGAGCGUCUUGUAUCGUAGGAGUCUUUUAUUUUUGUUGUGUCACAAUCAUCCUUGCUGCACACCUUUGGAGAGAGACAUGCACUCAUCCUGAUUUUGCUAGAAUACUCUUUGAGCUUCACUUAUAUCUUUUGAGUUAGGCAAUUUAGCUCACAUGCGCUUCACUUCGAUCUUUUAGAGCACGACAGUGUUAUAUUUUGGAGAAAUAAGGACUCUCGAUCUUCACUUAUAUCUUUUUGAGAGUGAUCUCUCUGAGUAACUUGGUAGUUGGCUUGUGCUAUGAAAGUAGUCCCAAAGGUGAUAGGAAUCCAAAGAGCAUACGAUGAAACUUCCAUCUUCUUGUUCAUUGAUUAGAAAGAGAAGUUUGAUUCCUCUCAAUUAGUUUUGAGAUAUGGAUUUGGUGAUACUAAGAGUUAUGUUAGUAGGGUGUUGUGAAUCUAGAAAUACUUGUGUUGAAGUUAGUGAUUAACGUAACAUGCACGUAUGGUGAACCGCUAUGUUAGGAAGUCAGAGCAUAAUUGAUCUAUUGAUUGUCAUCCUUUGUGUUGCGGUCGGGAUCGCGCGAUGGUUAACACCUACGAACCCUUCCCCUAGGAGUAUGCGUUUAGCACUUUGUUUUGAUUACUAAUAAAAACUUUCGCAAUAAGUAUGGGAGUUCUUCAUGACUAACGUGAGUCCAUGGUAUAGAUGCACUUUCACCUUCCACCAUUGCUAGCCUCUUUAGUGCCGCGCAACUUUCAUCGGUGCACAAACCCACCAUAUGCCUUCCUCAAAACAGCCACCAUAAGUACCUACUAUGGCAUCUUCAUAGCCAUUCCCAGAUAUAUUGCCAUGCAACUCCCACCGUUCCAUCUCAUGACUUGUGCCGUCACUUUCAUAUUGCCAUUGCAUGAUCGUAAGAUAGCUAGUGAGUCAUAUGCCAAGCUAGAUCGUUGCACAUCCCGGUACAUUGCCGGAGGCAUUUCCUAUAAGAGUCAUCAUUGUUCUAAGCAUUGAGCUUUUAGUAAAUUAAAGUGUGAUGAUCAUCAUUAUUAGAGCAGUGUCCCAUGUGAGUAAAUAAAAAAAAGGCCAAAGUGGCCCACAAAAAAAUAUAUAUGGAAAGAGGCCAAAGAGCCCCCAAAAAAGGAAGAGAGAAAAAGAGAGAAUGGACAAUGCUACUAUCUUUUUCCACACUUGUGCUUCAUAAUAGCACCAUGUUCUUCAUGAUUGAGAGUCUCUUGAUUUGUCACCACCAUAUGCUAGUGGGAAUUUUCGUUAUAUAACUUGGCUUAUAUAUUCCAAUGAUGGGAUUCCUCAAAAUUGCCCUAGGUCUUGACGAGCAAGCAAGUUGAAUGCACACCCACUAGUUCUUCUUUUGAGCUUUCACAUACUUAUAGCUCUAAGUGCAUCCAUUGCAUGGUAAUCCCUACUCUUUCACAUUGAUAUCUAUUAAUGGGCAUCUCCAUAGCCCUUUGAUACGCCGAGUCGAUGUGACCAUCUCCUCCUUUUUGUCUCACAACCUCCACCACACUCUAUUCCACCAUAGUGCUAUAUCCAUGGCUCAUGCUCAUGUAUUGCAUGAGAGUUGAAAAAGGUUUGAGAACGUAAGAGUGCGAAAACAAUUACUUCGCCAAUACCGGGGUUGUGCAUGAUUUAAAUUAGUUGUGUGGGGAUGAUGGAGCAUAGCCAGACUAUAUGAUUUUGUAGGGAUAACUUUCUUUGGCCUUGUUAUUUCGAAUGUUUAUGAUUACCUUGCUAGUUUUCUUGAAGUAUUAUUGUUUUCAUGUCAAUAGCAAGCUAUUAUUUGAAUCUUACGGAUCUGAACAUUCAUGUCACAUGAAAUAAGUUACAAAGGACAAAGAUGCUAGGUAGCAUUCCACAUCAAAAAUUCAGUCUUUAUCACUUCCCUACUCGAGGACGAGCUGGAGUUAAGCUUGGGGAUGCUUGAUACGUCUCCAACGUAUCUAUAAUUUUUGAUGGUUACAUGCUAUUAUCUUGUCAAACUUUGGAUGUUUUGUAUGCCUUUUAUAUCUUUUUUGGGACUAACUUAUUAACUCAGUGCCAAGUGCCAGUUCCUAUUUUUUUCGUGUUUUUGACCCUUUUCAGAGGAGAAUAUUAAACGGAAUCCAAAAGGAAUAAAACUUCCGAAAAGGUUUUUUCCGGAACAGAAAAUACGCAGGGGGCGUGAGAACCAAGGUAGAGGCCACCAGGGGAGGCCACAAGGCCCCUAGGCGCGGCCAGGGGGGCCUGACUCUGUGACAACAGACCUUCCCCUGCAACGGCACCAGAAGAAUGCUGCUAGCACUCCCCGGCAAUCGAAACUAGAAGAAUAUUGUUGACGGCCCACCAGCGCGUGGGAUCGAGGCAGUUUUCGAGGGUAGAGUAUUCGAACAAAAUUUGUUGAUACGCCAGUAGGAGGUGAGACGAUACUCUCAAGUAUUAGCAGUUGAAUGUGUCAGAUUCAACCAGACGUGAAAGAUUAGUAUCUGCAAGCAAAGUAUCAUCAGCAAAGUAGUAUGAUAACAACGGUGUCAGAAACGAUCUGUUGACGGCAGACUAUUCCUAACGAUUGUAUCAAUGGUGCCAGAAGUUGCCCGUUGACGGAAAUUGUCUGUUCCCGUCAACGCCGAGCGAACAAAAAUUGUAACAGGUAGCAGCAGUGAAACGAGUAACAGCAGUGGCAAGGAACAGCAGUAGUGACAGCAGUAGCAAGUAGCAACAGUAGCAAGUAGCAGCAGAGCAAGCGACAGUAGUAACAGCAGCAGUGGGACAAACUUGUAGGCAAUGGGUCCGUGAUUCGUUCGGAUGAUAUUCAUCAUGCAACAGUUAUAAGACGGAGAGAUAUGUGGCUAGCUCCCGUUCGUCAAUGUGAUGUAGGCAUGCAUUCCGUGUGUAGUCAUACGUGCUUAGGGAAAAGAACUUGCAUGACAUCUAUUGUCCAUCCCUCCCGUGGCAGCGGGGUCCAAAAGGAUACUACAGGAUGUUAAGGUUCUCCUUUUAAUAAAGAACCGGAACAACGCAUUAGCACUUGGUGAACACAUGAACUCCUCAAAGUAUGGUUAUCAUCAGGAGUGGUUCCGGUUANGCCGCAAGCUUCUGUCUCCGCAAGAUCCCAUCUGGGGCACAUUCUGGUGCCCUGUCGGAGGGGGGAUUCGGAUACGGAGGGCUUCUUCAUCAACACCAUUGACUCUCCGAUGAUGCGUGAGUAGUUCACCAUAAACCUUCGGGUCCAUAGCUAGUAGCUAGAUGGCUUCUUCUCUCUCUUGGAUCUUCAAUACAAAGUUCUCCAUGAUCUUCAUGGAGAUCUAUCCGAUGUAAUCUUCUUUUGCGGUGUGUUUUUCGAGAUCCGAUGAAUUGUGGAUUUAUGAUCAGAUUAUCUAUGAAUCUUAUUUGAGUUUCUUCUGAUCUCUUAUAUGCAUGAUUUCAUAUCCUUGUAAUUCUGUUCGAGUUGUGGGUUUUGUUUGGCGAACUUGAUCUAUGAUUGUUGCAAUGGGAUAAGUGCUUUGUUUUGGGUUCAUACCGUGCGGUGACCUCACCCAGUGACAAAAGGGGUAGCGAGGCACACAUCAUGUUGUUGGCAUCAAGGGUAAAAAGAUGGGGUUUAUACCUAUUGCAUGAACUUAUCCCUCUACAUCAUGUCAUCUUGCUUAAAGCGUUACUCUGUUUGUCAUGAACUCAAUACACUAGAUGCAUGCUGGAUAGCGGUCGAUGUGUGGAGUAAUAGUAGUAGAUGCAGAAAGAAUCGGUCUUCUUGUCUCGGACGUGAUGCCUAUAUGUAUGAUCAUUGCCUUAGAUAUAAUUUGCCCUUCCGACCCGCUGCAUGCCACCCUUGUCGAGCUGACUACUCCCAUCGCCCCAACGGCUAAUACAACGCUGACUAGGGCUGAGGUGGAAGAGGCUCGCAAACAACUACUAGUGGAGGGCACCGCCCUUGCCACCUCCAAGCGCUGGAUGAAGGCGGCACGGCGUGAGUACAACUCCGCUUAUGGCUUCACCCCAGCCGCUGACGGACCCAGCCGGCUCGGCGACCUCCGCUGUCGCGGUCGGGUUGUUGCCGAAAUCCUAGGCGGCCAGCUACCCAUCUAUGACACUCCUGCGGCAAACAUGCGGGCCGCCCAGGCGGCCCAUGAAGAGAUGGAUGCCCUGCAGGGCGAGGAGCGGGUGCGUUAAGAAAAGUGCGUCAAGGACCUCCUCACUGCCGCCAAGGAGCAACAGGAUCGCCUCGAUCCUGCCCGUGCUUUCUCCGUAUCUCCGGCCUUCGACAUCGAAGGUUAUGAUGUCCCCAACGACCGUCAGCAAGCUCAGCAUUCUUCCUCCCAUCGUAAAUCCGACCAGAAGGCCGAGGGAAGCCGUGAGUAGCAUUCCCAACGCCGGAGAGAGCAUCACGCAGUAUCUAGCCGGCUCGGCGAGCCGGCUGGAACUAGAGGAGGCUCAGUUCAUGAAGUUCCCCCGCCUGAGCGGUGGGAGAAGGCCAGCACACCCGUGCCCGCAAUCCGGCCUGAGCUCGCGGCUUGGAUCGGCCCUCGCGUCCUUCGCAGCAAGAGCGAUGCUCGCACACGCAUCGACCUUCUGGCGCAGUCGGCCCUCCUGGAGGAGGAGGGUCCCAUUGGUCCGACGUGCUUCGGUCCUCGGAUCCGAGGGGAGGCGUUCCCGUCCGGCUUCACCGUCCCCCGCGAUACUACGAAAUACAACGGCUCUGGCAAGCCGAAAGACUGGCUGAUCGACUACAUCACUGCAGUCGGCAUUUCUCGGGGCAACAAGCGUGUUGCCGUCUGCUACGUGACACUCAUGCUGACCGGCUCGACAAGAACUUGGCUUAACAGUCUGCCAGCUGGCAACAUCAACUCUUGGGUUGACUUUGAAGAUGCUUUCGUCCGCAACUUCACUCGCACCUACAAGCGCCCUGGCCACGCCCGUGAGCUGGCCAUGUGCGUUCAGAAGCCCGACAAACCCCUCUGUGACUACAUCAUGCACUCGACGGAGUUGCACAACUCCUGCGAAGGAGUGCAUGAAGUACAAGCCAUUCAAUACUUCACUAAAGACUGUCGAGACGACACCCUUCUCAAGCACAAACUCAUGUGCUGCGAACCUACCUCUUUGGCAGCACUCAUGGACAAGGCGGAUAAAUACACUACUGCCAACUCUGCCAUGAGGAUCAAGGUCAGCGCGACGGACAAACCCGACCAACCGCCGGCUACAACUAAGCCGGUGGCGACAACUGAGGCGGGCAAAACAACAAGCGCAAGGCGGAUCAGCAAGACCCGUGAGCUUGAAGCAAGCAGGUGGCAAACAUGGAGGAAGAGCAGCCGGCUGCGCAAGACGACGCUCAGCAACAACGAACCGGCAAGAACACCUGACAGCCCAAGCUCACAUUCGAGUAGAUGCUCGACGCGCCUUGCAAGAUGCAUUCCGGGGCAAAGCCAGCCACCCACACACUCCGGUAGUGCAGCUUCUCACAGCGCCUGGCCCGCUGGCGGCUCCCCCGGGGGUGGCUCCUCGAGGUCCGACUCCCGGGCCGGGUCCGGCUCCAGCUCAACCGCCCCCAAUGACGGCCGUCUUCAUGACCAAUUCCCCAAGAAGGACGGGCCUACAUCGUCUUUACCAGCGAGGGCGAUGACAAGCAUAGUGAGCGUCAGCGCCGACAUGAGGUGAAUGCAACGGUCCUCUCGGUUCCCCAAUACACGCAUUGGUCUAAAAAGCAAAUUACAUGGAGCCAGGCGGACCAUCCCGCGGUGAUGCCGAAUCCUGGCACAUACGCGCUCGUCCUCGUCCCCACCAUCGCCUCCAAGAGACUCACAUGUACGUUCUCGCAGGUGCUCGUCGACGGCGGUAGCAUCAUGAACAUCCUCUACCGUGACACCAUGCUCGAGCUCGGGCUGAAGGAGAAGGACCUACAACCGACCAGGACUGUCUUCCACGACAUUGUGUCGGGGCAGUCUUGCUCGCCUAUCGGCAAAAUCCAGGUGGACUUCCUCUUUCGCGACAAGUCGCACUUCCACCGCGAGCCGGUCUGGUUCAAGGAGGUGGACCUCAACAACCCGUACCAUGCGCUGCUAGGAAGGCCGGCGCUGGCCAAGUUCAUGGCUAUCCCCCAUUACACCUACCUCAAGAUGAAGAUGUCGGGUCCCAAGGGCAUUAUCACUGUUGCCGGCAACUCCAAGAAGUCAAUCGAGUGUGGGUGCAACAGCAGCCGGCUGGCCGAGGCACUGGUGAUUGCACAGGAGAAGAGGCAGCUCAACCGGCUCAUGGCUGAGGCUACCGAGCAGCCGCCCGUGCCAACUCCUCCGUCCCAAUCAGACGGCGAGGCCUCAUUCGAGCCGUCCAAGGGAACCGGGCAAGUGCCACUCGACCCAGCCAACCCCAAGUAGUGCGUGACCAUCGGCGCCAACCUUAGCCCCAAAUAGGAAGGUGAGCUCGUCGACUUCCUCAGUGAGAAUCGAGAUAUCUUUGCAUGGUCCCCCAAGGACAUGUCGGGAGUUCCAAGGAACUACGCCGAGCACAAGCUUCAUGUGCAACCUAAUGCAAAGCCGGUCAAACAACCUUUGUGCCGCUUUGCUGAGGGGAAGCGACACACAAUCGGAGAAGAGAUCGCUUGGCUACUUGCAACCGGCUUCAUCAUGGAAGUUUCCCACCCGGACUGACUGGCCAACCCAGUCCUGGUGCAGAAGAAAAACAAAACAUGGUGCAUGUGUAUCGACUACACAAGCCUGAAUAUGGCAUGUCUGAAGGAUCCCGUCGCCCUGCCACGGAUAGAUCAAGUGACUGACUCCACGGUCGGCUACGAUUUGUUGUCCUUUGUGGACGCUUAUUCCGGCUACCACCAGAUCAAGCUGGACCCGGCCGACCGGCUCAAGACCUCCUUCAUCACACCUUCUGGAGCCUACUGCUACACGAUGAUGACAUUUGGCCUAAAGACUAUAGGCGCCACCUUCCAGCGUUGCAUGCAAUAAUGCCUCCUGCCGCAAAUCGGCAGGAACAUACACGUCUGCAUCGACGAAAUCGUCGUCAAGACCAAGAAGUAUUUCAGUCUCCUUGACGAUUUGUCGGAGACCUUUGCCAACUUGCACGAGUACAAGAUCCAUGUCAAUCCAGAGAAGUGCGUAUUCGGAGUACCAACCGACAAGCUCCUGGGUUUCUUCGUGUCGGCUCGCGGCAUCGAAGCUAACCCCGAGAAGACCAGAACAAUCGAGUGCAUGGCCAAGCCGGCUCAACUCCUCGACGUCUAGAAGUUUGCCGGCUGCCUAGCAUCCCUCAGCCGGUUUGUUAGACGGCUGGGUGAGAAGGCACUACCACUCUAUCAGCUGAUGAAGAAGACAACCAAAUUCGAGUGGAAUGAUCAAGCGGACGAAGCAUUCCGCGACCUCAAGUGCGUGAUCUCCAGCACGCAAAUCUUGGCCACGCCGGCGGAGAGGGAACCCAUCCUCAUCUAAAAUGCGACAACCAUGCGCGUGGUCAGUGUCGUCUUGGUGGUGGAGCGAAAGGAGGAGGGCAAUGUGCUGCUGGUCAGCGCCCUGUCUACCAUCUAAGCGAAGUCUUGUCCGCCUCCAAGCAAAACUACCCCAUUUUCAAAAGAUGUGCUAUGGCGUGUAUUUUGCCACCAAGAAGCUGAAGCAAUACUUCCAGGAGCAUGCCAUCACGGUGGUGAGCACAACUCCACUUUCAGAAAUCAUGGGCAACUGUGAUGCUAUGGGCCAGAUUGCCAAGUGGUCCAUCUCCAUGGCCGACCAUGACAUCCGCUAUGAGCUGUGCACCGCCAUCAAGUCUCAAGUGGUGGCCGACUUCCUCGUCGAUUGGGCCGAGACCCAGUUCCUACCACCGCCUCCUGACUCCACACAUUGGCGGAUACAUUUCGACGACUCCAAGAUGCGAACCGGCCUGGGAGCCGGCAUUGUCCUGACGUCCCCGAAAGGGGCCAACUCAAAUAUGCUCUGUAGAUACACUUCGCCUCCUCCAACAACGUCACCGAGUACGAGGCACUUGCACACGCCCUCUGACUUGCUAGAGAGAUCGUCAUCCAGCGGAUUCUUUGCUUCAGCGACUCUGACCUCGUGGUGCAGCAAGUCUUUCGCGAGUGGGAUGCCAGGGACGCCAACAUGGCCAGCUACCGCUUCCCCAUCCAGCAGCUUAGUGGCCCUUUCGAGGGCUGCGAGUUCCAUCAUGUCCCCCGAGCAGACAAUGAGGCAGCAGAUACAUUGGCACAAAUGGGCUCCACAAGGCAAGCAAUCCCGACCGGCGUCUCCCUCGAACAGCUGCACAAGCCUUCCAUCAAGCCGUCUCGAGCGUCGUCAUCGAUCUUCGUGCCUGCAGACCCGUCCGUCCCAAUGACUUUAGGUACGAAGACGCUUCAUCAACUCCGCCGGCUCGGCCCGUUCUGCCAGCUCCGUCAGCUUUGCUGGCUCCGGUUACCUUGCCGACACCAACUACUCUGCCGGCUAUGCCAAACCUCGAACCCAGUCGGCUCAACACCCAGUGGGUGGCCGUCAUGGAGGUUGAUGGCAUGCCGGCUUCCACGACGACACCAGAGACAGAAGGUCUCGAACCCAGGACCACAAUGACAAACUCGGGGGCCUCAGCGGCCCCUGGCCUUCAGGCCGAGCCAGAAUCGGCUCGUGUGUCAGCUCCCACAUGGGCACACCCCAUCCUGUCUUUCCUCCUUUGCGGUGAGCUCCCUUAAGACAAGGUGGAAGCACGGCAAAUCCAGUGCCGAUCUCUCACUUACGCCAUCAUCAACCGUGAACUGGUUCGACACAGUGUAACAGGCGUACUUCAACGCUGCGUCGAAUCAGAGAAAUGAAAAUAAAUUCUCAAGGACAUACAUCAGGGUGAGUGCGGGCAUCACGCCGCCUCCAGAACCCUGGUGGCCAAGGCGUUCCGCCAUGGAUUCUAUUGGCUCACGACCCUGGAAGAGGCCACCACUCUGGUCGACAAGUGUGAAGGAUGCCAGUGCUUCAACACGCAAAGCCACUUGCCGGCCUCAGCUCUAAAGACCAUUCCCCUCUCAUGUCCCUUUGUCGUCUGGCGUUGGACAUGGUAGGCCCAUUCAAGACCGCUCGAGGCCGCAUGCCGCAUCUCCUGGUAGCCGUUGACAAGUUCACCAAGUGGAUUGAGGCCAGGCCAAUAAAGAAGCUUGACGGUCCCACGACCGUCAGGUUCAUCAAGGACAUCACCGUCCGCUAAGGUGUCCCCCACAGCAUCAUCACCGAUAAUGGCACCAACCUCGCCAAAGGUGCAAUGGCGCUCUUCUAUGCCAAGGAGGGCAUUCGGUUCGACCUUUCGUCGGUUGCCCACCCGCAGUCUAACGGCCAUGGGAAGGGCAAACAACCUGAUCUUGGCCGGCAUCAAGCCAAGACUCGUGGCACCGAUCGUCAGGUCAGCCGUCUGCUGGAUCAAAGAGUUGACGGCUGUGCUGUGGAGCCUCCACACCACACCGAACCGGUCAACUGAUUUCACGCCAUUCUUCCUCGUCUACGGGUCCGAGGCAAUCAUCCCCGCGGAUGUCGAGUUCGACUUGCCUCGCGUCACCCUGUACACGGAGGCAGAUGCAAAAGAGGAAAGAGAAGACGGUGUCAAUCUACUCGAGGAGGCACGGGAGCUGGCCCUGAGCUGGACGGCCAUCUACCAGCAGAAGAUGAGACACUACCACAUCAAAAAGAUCAGGCCUCUCUCUUCCCAUGAGGCGGACCUAGUACUUAGAAGAAUCUAGCAAACAGCCGGCCAACACAAGCUCUCUUCCCCAUGGGAGGGACCCUUGAUCAUCAGCAAGGUGCUGCACAACAAUGCGUACUAUCUAAUAGAUGCUCAGAAGCCGCAGAAGCGCAAAAGAGACGCCUCCGGCGAGGAAACGGAGCAUCCAUAGAACGCGGCACUGCUUCGCCCGUUCUAUUGCUAGAACAAGAGAGAAAAUGUGUACGUAUGUAUCCUUUACCCUUUUGGGGUCUCAACGAAUGCAAUGGGUGUCUCAAGAUAGCACUUGGGGCAUACCUAUUUGAUUUCAUAAAAAGAGUUGUCAUUAGAAGAGUGGGCUUCCCGAUCUGACUCCUCGGGCUCGGGGGCUCGCUAGCCGGCCCAAGCCAACUUCCUAGUCGUAGUUGAACAUAUAGUGCAUGUCGAGCCGAAACCCUUACCACCUUGUGCAAGCUAGAGACCGGCUCCGGACUGUCCGGCUAACAUGAUUGUGGAAUGGAAGGCUGGUUGCACGUAAAAUUUGACUACAAAGAGGUUGUCGGCUCAGGUUGGUCUGAUCGCUUCCGAUCUUCAUUUCUAGCUAGCCUGUGCUAACUCGCUCCAAGUCUAAGUAUCUCCGCGACUUCAAGAAAUUCGAGGAUGGCGCCUUCGUAGGCAGAAGCCCCAUCCUAGUCACAAACCGGCUCCCUGCUGUCGGAUUGGCGGGGUGGAUGCUGGAGGAGGCAAGCUGUUGGAUAGACGGAAGCCAAAGGGGAACGUAAGAUAAAAAAGCGAGUCGGCAAGCACAACCUUCGCAGGCACAAUUCAAGCAAACAAGCAUAUAUUAUAUCAAAAGACAUGUAAAGGCCGACGACCAAAGUUCAUUACAUUACACCCCAAGUGCGUGGAACUGUUGGAUUAACAAAAAAUGCAGAAAAGUAGAAAAAACUUUAUUUGGUGGUGGCUCCACCCUUGGCUCCGACAUCGCCGGCAGCACCGGAGGUCGAGGAGGCUCCACCCAUGGCUCCGACAUUGUUAGCAGCACCUGAGGUCGACGCGGCUCCACCCUUGGCAUUGGCAUCACCAGCGGCACCUGACGUGGAGGCGCCGUCGUCUGCUCGGGUGCCUUUGGCACUGCCCUUUGUGGCGGAGUCAACAUAGGCCUCGCCGCUCAAGUCGGCAUCCUCGAAUGCCGUCUCAUCGGAGCUGCCAUCAGGGUCGGCAAGCUAGCCCAUAAUGACCCUCCGGGAUCAGGCUUCUGUCAGCACUCCGCUCCAGGGAAUACUCAUUCCAUGGGCAAAGGAGGCAAUGCCGCUCGGCCGCACCUGCAGCUCGUCUUCGACGGCGGCUGACACGUGUCCAACGUAUCUAUAAUUUUUGAUGGUUACAUGCUAUUAUCUUGUCAAACUUUGGAUGUUUUGCAUGCCUUUUAUAACUUUUGGGACUAACUUAUUAAUUCAGUGCCAAGUGCCAGUUCCUGUUUUUUCCGUGUUUUUGACCCUUUUCAGAGAAGGAUUUUAAACGGUGUCCAAACGGAAUAAAAUUUUCGAAAAGAUUUUUUCCGGAACAGAAGAUACGCACGGGAUGUGAGAACCAAGGCAGAAGCCACCACGGGAUGCCACAAGCCCCCUAGGCGCGGCCGGGGGGGCCUAGCAGGCUUGUGGGCCCCCUGUGACUCGUCUGCACUACCUCUUCUGCCUAUAAAUUCCUGAAAAAUCCAAAACUGCGGGAGAGAUCCACGAAAAUACUUUUCCGCUGCCGCAAGCUUCUGUCUCCGCAAGAUCCCAUCUGGGGCACGUUCUGGUGCCCUGCCGGAGGGGGGAUUGGAUACGGAGGGCUUCUUCAUCAACACCAUGACCUCUCCGAUGAUGCAUGGGUAGUUUACCAUAGACCUUCGGGUCCAUAGCUAGUAGCUAGAUGCCUUCUUCUCUCUCUUGGAUCUUCAAUACAAAGUUCUCCAUGAUCUUCAUGGAUAUCUAUCCGAUGUAAUCUUCUUUUGCGGUGUAUUUGUCGAGAUCCGAUGAAUUGUGGAUUUAUGAUCAGAUUAUCUAUGAAUCUUAUUUAAAUUUCUUCUGAUCUUUUAUAUGCAUGAUUUCAUAUCCUUGUAAUUCUCUUCGAGUUGUGGGUUUUCUUUGGCCAACUUGAUCUAUGAUUCUUGCAAUGGGAGAAGUGCUUGGUUUUGGGUUCAUACCGUGCGGUGACCUCACCCAGUGACAGAAGGGGUAGUGAGGCACGCAUCAUGUUGUUGCCAUCAAGGGUAAAAAGAUGGGGUUUACAUCAUUGGUUUGAGUUUAUCCCUCUACAUCAUGUCAUCUUGCUUAAGGCGUUACUCUGUUCGUCAUGAACUCAAUACACUAGAUGCAUGCUUGAUAGCAGGGGAUGUGUGGAGUAAUAGUAGUAGAUGCAGACAGUAUCGGUCUACUUGUCUUGGACGUGAUGCCUAUAUGUAUAAUCAUUGCCUUAGAUAUCGUCAUGACUUUGCGCGGUUCUAUCAAUUGCUCGACAGUAAUUUGUUCACCCACCGUAAUAUUUGCUACUUUGGGAGAAGCCUCUAGUGAACACUAUGGCCCCCGGGUCUACUUCACAUCAUAUUUUCAGCCUUUAACUUUUACUUCGUUGUACUUUCCACCUUCAGAUCUCACUUUGCAAUCAAUCUUGAAGGGAUUGACAACCCCUUUAUAGCGUUGGGUGCAAGCUCGUUUGUAUUUGCGCAGGUACUCUGUACACUUGGAUUGAUUCUCCUACUGGAUUGAUACCUUGGUUCUCAAACUGAGGGAAAUACUUACUUCUCCUGUGCUGCAUCACCCUUUCCUCUUCAAGGGAAAACCAACGCAAGCUCAAGAGGCAACAGAAGGAUUUCUGGCGCCGUUGCCGGGGACUUCUGGCCCCGUAGCAGAAGGAUUUCUCGCGCCGUUGCCGGGGAGGAUCAAGUUCUAGGUGAAGCUUAUCCAAGUAAGUGUCGAAAACUCAUCUCUUGCAUUUACUUUUUUGCCUUUCGUUUUCCUCUCCCCCAGUUUUGAAAAACAAAAAAUUACAAAAAUAUUUGCCUUCUUCGUUUGCCUUUUUCGUUCGCCCUUUUAUCUCGCUUGCUUUCUGUUCGCUUGUGUGCUUGUUUGCUUGUCGAAGUCACCAUGACUAAAAACACCAAACUCUAUGACUUCUCGAAUACUAAUAAUAAUGAUUUUAUUAGUACUCCGAUUGCUCCCGCCACUAGUGCGGAAUCAUACGAAAUCAAUGUUGCCUUGCUGAAUCUUGUUAUGAAAGAGCAAUUCUCCGACCUUCCUAGUGAAGAUGCCGCAUCCCAUCUUAAUAUCUUCAUUGAGCUUUGCGAUAUGCAGAAUAAGAAAGAUGUGGAUAAUGAUGUGAUUAAAUUGAAGCUUUUUCCUUUCUCGUUGCGAGAUCGAGCAAAAACUUGGUUUUCAUCUUUGCCCAAAAAUAGUAUUGAUUCUUGGAACAAGUGCAAAGAUGAUUAUAUAUCCAAGUAUUUUCCGUCGGCUAAGAUUAUCUCUCUCCGUAAUGAUAUCUUGAAUUUUAAGCAACUUGAUCAUGAACAUGUUCCACAAUCUUGGGAGAGAAUGAAAUUGAUGAUUAGAAAAUGUCCCGCUCAUGGCUUGAGUCUUUGGAUGAUUAUACAAAUCUUCUACGCUGGUUUGAAUUUCGCUUCUAGAAAUAUCUUGGACUCCGCCUCAGGUGGAACAUUCAAGGAAAUCACAUUAGGAGAAGCCACGAAACUCCUAGACAAUAUCAUGAUAAACUACUCUCAGUGGCACACUGAAAGGUCACCUACUAGUAAAAAAGUACACGCUAUAGAAGAAAUUAACUCGUUGAGUGCUAAGAUGGAUGAUUUAAUGAAUUUUGUUGCUAGUAGAAGUGCUCCUUUAGAUCCUAAUGAUAUGCCCUUGUAUUCCUUGAUUGAGAGUAGCAAUGCGAGCUUGGACGUUAAUUUUGUUGGUAGGAAUAAUUUUGGCAACAACAAUGCUUUUAGAGGAAACUAUGUUCCUACGCCUUUUCCUAGGAACCCCUCUAAUAACUUUGGCAACUCCUACAACAAUACUCAUGGAAAUUACGAUAAAUUACCCUCUGAUCUAGAUAGUAAUAUCAAAAAGUUUAUCAACUCGCAAAAGAUUUUCAAUGCGUCCAUAGAGGAAAAACUACUCAAAAUUGACGAUUUGGCUAGGAGCGUUGAUAGAAUGUCUAGUGAUACUGAUGCUUUGAAAGUUAGAUGUGCUCCUCCCAAGAUCAACAUGGAUGAAACUUUGAAACCCAUGCGUGUUUCCAUGAGUGAGAGCAAAGAAAGAACCGCCCAAAUUCGUGCUAGACAUGAAUGGCUUAAAAAGGCGUGUUCUCGUGAUAAGAAUCACGAAGAUCUUAAAGUGCUUGGUGUGACUCCCAUUGAAUCUUUGUUCUCUCGUGUCAAACCUAAUGAUGAUGGGGCUGGAUAUGAAUCUACUUUGGUUGAAAAACGCCUCAAUGAUUCGGAGUCCAUCUAUCUUGAUGCUAAAAGCAUUGAAAGUGGAGUAGAAGAAAUCAAAACUUUGAGUAGUAAUGAAAGUACUACUUUGGAUUUCAAGGAAUUCAAUUAUGAUAGUUUCUCCUUGAUUGAAUGCAUUUCCUUGAUGCAAUCCAUGCUAAACUCUCCACACGCUUAUAGCCAAAACAAGGCCUUUACCGAUCAUAUCGUUGAAGCUAUGAUAAAAUCUCUUGAAGAGAAACUUGAGUUGGAAGUUUCUAUUCCUAGAAAGCUUCAUGAUGAGUGGGAACCUACUAUCAAAAUCAAAAUCAAAAACUAUGAAUGCAAUGCUUUGUGUGAUUUGGGUGCUAGUGUUUCCGCGAUUCCAAAGUCUUUAUGUUAUGUUCUAGGCUUUAAUGAGAUUGAGGAGUGUUCUCUUAAUUUGCAUCUUACGGAUUCUACUGUCAAGAAACCCAUGGGAAGGAUCAAUGAUGUUCUUAUUAUUGCAAAUAGGAACUAUGUACCCAUGCAUUUCAUUGUGCUUGAUAUUGAUUGCAAUCCUACAUGUCCUAUCAUUCUUGGUAGACCUUUCCUAAGGACUAUUGGUGCUAUCAUCGAUAUGAAGGAAGGGAAUAUUUGAUUUCAAUUUCCUUUAAAUAAGGGCAUGGAGCAUUUUCCUAGAAAGAAAAUAAGAUUGCCUUAUUAAUCAAUGAUGAGGGCUACUUAUGGUUUGAGCACCAAAGACGACGAUACGUGAUUCUAUCGCCUUAUGCCUAGCUAAGGGCGUUAAAAAAUAGCGCUUGUUGGGAGGCAACCAAAUGAAUUUAUUUUUUUCUUUCUGUUUUAUUGCGUCCACACUAUCAUAAUUCUGUUAUGAUAGUUUUUUGUGUUUCUUUUUGUGUUUGAGCCAAGCAAAACCUUUAUGAUUGGUUUGGUGAUGGUUGUUUGAUCCUGCUGGAAAAAGACAGAAACUUUUCGCUCACGAAAUUAUUUUUCGUUUUUAUUCCGAAAGAGAUUUUGAUUUGAUUCCUUUUGCUGCUGGUUUAUAUGCCUUUUUCCCAGGCUGUCGUAAUGUUUCAUAAUUUUUGAGGCACCAGAAGUAUACGAAGUAUAAAGAUUUCUACAGACUGGUCUGUUUUUGACAGAUUUUGUUUUUGUUGUGUUGGUUGCUUGUUUUGAUGAAACUAUGGAUAGUAUCGGGGGUACUAGCCAUGGAAAAGUGAGAAUACAGUAAUCUAACACCAAUAUAAAUAGAAAUCAAGAUUGCUACAGUACCUAAAGUGGUGGUAGUUUGUUUUCUUGUGCUAAUGAUAUCACGAGUUUCUGUUUAAGUUUUGUGUUGUGAAGUUCUCAAGUUUUGGGUGAUGUUCUCAUGGACAAAGGGAUAAAGAGUGGAAAGAGAUCAAGCUUGGGGAUGCCCAAGGCAUCCCAAUCUAAAUUCAAGGACACCAAAAAUCCUAAGCUUGGGUAUGCCCCGGGAAGACAUCCCCUCUUUCGUCUUCAAUCCAUCGGUAACAUUACUUGGAGCUAUAUUUUUAUUCAGCACAUGAUAUGUGUUUUGUUUGGAGCGUCUUGUAUCGUAGGAGUCUUUUCUUUUUGUUGUGUCACAAUCAUCCUUGCUGCACACCUUUUGAGAGAGACAUGCACUCAUCGUGAAUUUGCUAGAAUACUCAUUGUGCUUCACUUAUAUCUUUUGAGCUAGACAAUGUUGCUGUGUGCUUCACUUAGAUCUUUUAGAGCACCGCUGUGCGUAACUUGGUAGUUGGCUUGUGCUAUGAAUGUAGUCCCAAAGGUGAUAGGUAGCCAAAGAGGAGACAAUAACACUUCCAUCUUCAUGUGUGUUGAGUAGAAAGAGAAGUUUGAUUCCUCUCAAUUAGUUUUGAGACGUGGAUUUGGUAAUAUUAAGAGUUAUGUUAGUAGGGUGUUGUGAAUCUAGAAAUACUUGUGUUAAAGUUAGUGAUUCCCGUAACAUGCACAUAUGGUGAACCACUAUGUUAGGAAGUCGGAGCAUAAUUGAUCUAUUGAUUUCCAUUCUUUGUGUUGCCGUCGGGAUCGCGCGAUGGUUAACACCUACUAACCCUUCCUCUAGGAGUAUGCGUUUAGCACUUUGUUUCGAUUACUAAUAAAAACUUUUGCAACAAGUAUGUGAGUUCUUCAUGACUAAUGUGAGUCCAUGGUAUAGAUGCACUUUCACCUUCCACCAUUGCUAGCCUCUCUAGUACCGCGCAGUUUUCGCUGGUGCACAAACCCACCAUAUGCCUUCCUCAAAACAGCCACCAUACCUACCUACUAUGGCAUUUUCAUUGCCAUUCCGAGAUAUAUUGCCAUGCAACUCCCACCGUUCCGUCUCAUGACUUGUGCCGUCACUCUCAUAUUGCCAUUGCAUGAUCAUAAGACAGCUAGCGAGAUGUUUCAACGUCAUACGCCAAGCUAGAUCGUUGAACAUCCCGGUACACUGCCGGAGGCAUUUCCUAUAGAGUCAUCAUCGUUCUAAGCUUUGAGCUGUGAGUAAAUAAAAGUGUGAUGAUCAUCAUUAUUAGAGCAUUGUCCCAUGUGAGGAAAUAAAAAAAUAGAGGCCAAAGUUGCCCACAAAAAAAGAGAUAUGGAAAGAGGCCGAAGAACCCAAACAAAAAAAAGAAAAAGAAAAAAAGAGAGAAAAUUAGAGAAGGGACAAUGCUACUAUCUUUUUCCACACUUGUGCUUCAUAAUAGCACCAUGUUCUUCAUGAUUGAGAGCCUCCUCGUUUUGUCACCACCAUAUACUAGUGGGAAUCUUUAUUAUAUAACUUGGCUUGUAUAUUCCAAUGAUGGGCUUCCUCAAAAUUGCCCUAGGUCUUCGUGAGCAAGCAAGUUGGAUGCACACCCACUAGUUCUCCUUUUGAGCUUUAACAUACUUAUAGCUCUAAGUGCAUCCAUUGCAUGGUAAUCCCUACUCUUUCACAUUGAUAUCUAUUAAUGGGCAUCUCCAUAGCCCUUUGAUACGCCGAGUCGAUGUGACCAUCUCCUCCUUUUUGUCUCACAACCUCCACCACACUCUAUUCCACCAUAGUGCUAUAUCCAUGGCUCAUGCUCAUGUAUUGCAUGAGAGUUGAAAAAGGUUUGAGAACGUAAGAGUGCGAAAACAAUUACUUCGCCAAUACCGGGGUUGUGCAUGAUUUAAAUUAGUUGUGUGGGGAUGAUGGAGCAUAGCCAGACUAUAUGAUUUUGUAGGGAUAACUUUCUUUGGCCUUGUUAUUUCGAAAGUUCAUGAUUACCUUGCUAGUUUACUUGAAGUAUUAUUGUUUUCAUGUCAAUAGCAAAUUAUUGUUUUUAAUCUUAUGUAUAGGAACAUUCAUGUCACAUGAAAGAAGUUACAAAGGACAACUAUGCUAGGUAGCAUUCCACAUCAAAAAUUAAGUCUCUAUCACUUCCCUACUCGAGGACGAGCGGGAGUUAAGCUUGGGAUGCUUGAUACGUCUGUAACGUAUCUAUACUUUUUGAUGGUUCCAUGCUAUUAUCUUGUCAAUCUUUGGAUGUUUUGUAUGCCUUUUAUAUCUUUUUUGGGACUAACUUAUUAACUCAGUGCCAAGUGCCAGUUUCUGUUUUUUUCGUGUUUUUGACCCUUUUCAGAGGAGAAUUUUAAACGGUGUCCAAACGGAAUAAAACUUCUGAUUUUUUUUCCGGAACAGAAGAUACGCACGGGACGUGAGAACCAAGGCAGAAGCCACCAGGGGACGCCACAAGCCCCCUAGGCGCGGCCAGGGGGGCCCGCGCCUAGCAGGCUUGUGGGCCCCGUGUGGCUCGUCCGCCCUACCUCUUCCGCCUAUAAAUUCCUGAAAAAUCCAAAACCGCGGGAGAGAUCCUUGAAAAUACUUUUCCGCCGCCACAAACUUCUGUCUCCGCAAGAUCCCAUCUAGGGAACGUUCUGGUGCCCUGCCGGAGGGGGGAUUCGGAUACGGAGGGCUUCUUAAUCAACACCAUGACCUCUCCGAUGAUGCAUGAGUAGUUUACCAUAGACCUUCGGGUCCAUAGCUAGUAGCUAGAUGGCUUAUUCUCUCUCUUGGAUCUUCAAUACAAAGUUCUCCAUGAUCUUCAUGGAGAUCUAUCCGAUGUAAUCUUAUUUUGUUGUGUGUUUGUCGAGAUCCGAUGAAUUGUGGAUUUAUGAUCAGUUUAUCUAUGAAUCUUAUUUGAGUUUCUUCUCAUCUCUUAUAUGCAUGAUUUCAUAUCCUUGUAAUUCUCUUCGAGUGAUGGGUUUUGUUUGGCCAACUUGAGCUAUGAUUCUUGCAAUGGGAUAAGUGCUUGGUUUUGGGUCCAUACCGUGCGGUGACCUCACCCAGUGACAGAAGGAGUAGCGAGGAACGCAUCGUGUUGUUGCCAUCAAGGGUAAUAAGAUGGGGUUUACAUCAUUGGUUUGAGUUUAUCCCUCUACAUCAUGUUAUCUUGCUUAAGGUGUUACUCUGUUUGUCAUGAACUCAAUACAAUAGAUGCAUGCUGGAUAGCGGUCGAUGUGUGGAGUAAUAGUAGUAGAUGCAGACAGUAUCGGUCUACUUGUCUCGGACGUGAUGCCUAUAUGUAUGAUCAUUGUCUUAGAUAUCGUCAUGACUUUGCGCGGUUCUAUCAAUUGCUCGACAGUAAUUUGUUCACCCACCGUAAUAUUUGCUACUUUGAGAGAAGCCUCUAGUGAACACUAUGGCCCCCGGGUCUACUUCACAUCAUAUUUUCAGCCUUUCACUUUUACUUCGUUGCACUUUCCGCCUUCAGUUCUCACUUUGCAAUCAAUCUUGAAGGGAUUGAUAACCCCUUUAUAGCGUUGGGUGCAAGCUCGUUUGUGUUUGCGCAGGUACUCUGGACACUUGGCUUGAUUAUCCUACUGGAUUGAUACCUUGGUUCUCAAACCGAGGGAAAUACUUACUGCUCGUGUGCUGUAUCACCCUUUCCUCUUCAAGGGGAAACCAAUGCAAGCUCAAGAUGCAGCAGAAGGAUUUCUGGCGCCGUUGCCGGGGACUUAUGGCGCCGUAGCAGCGGCCAACUCCAGUUCCAUGCUGGCGCGCUGCGCCGCGAGCAUGCCCAAGUUUAGGUUGCGAUACCAGGACUUGGCAAGGCGAAGCACCAUAUAUGCCCCAGCUUGUGCAGCUGACGCACACGAGGCGUCCAGCUGGGAAGUUCCUACCUCGAGCCAUCAGGACAGCCGGCUCAUUGACGCUGGCUCCACCGUGUCCGGCCAAAGGGCAUUCACCAUCGCCAACCCGGACUCCUGGAGCGAGGUCAGGGACUGCAACAGCUCCCACAUAUGGGCCCUGGCGGCAAGGGCCACCUCCUCCGCGGUCUAGCCGGCACUAAUAUUCACCAUGGCGCCGGCGGCACGUCGUUCUUUGCGAUGAGCCUCUACAGCCGUGUCCACCGCAUCUCAAUUCCCUAGAAAGAGAUGGUGGGGGGCAAUGGCGGGGUCAUGGCGUAAAGAAGGAGAAAAAAGAAUUCAACAAUAAAAAGACAAGAUGAGGCAGGGACGACUCACGGUUGAGAAGGAUGUCGACUUCGCCCGCCUCCUCCUCAACCUCGCGGUCCUGGACCGCACACUCCUAAGCCUGGCGAGCGAGCUUGUUCCCCAGGGCCUGUGUCGCCUUAACUUCCUUCGCCAGUUGAGCUUUCAUGUCCUUCAUGGCGGCGUCCUGCUGCGCCUUUUCGUCAAGGCGCAGCUUCUCCAAACGUUCAAGCUCGAUGGCUUGGGAGGCAUCCUUCCGCAACAUGUUGUCGUUGUGUCCGACGCGCAGCCGCUCCAGCUCCGUUUGAUGGGCCGCCUCGUGGUCCUUCUUCUCCAUCUGGAGAAGCUCUACUUCCUGACGUAGCCGGCCGCCCUCACCGCGCAAGGCGUCGCGCUCCGUGACGGCUCGGUCGAGCCGGCCUUGAAGGUCGCCUGUUUGUUCUAUGUAAUGAUCAUUGGCAUGAAUAAACAUUGCAUAACUAUGCGCUUUUAUACCAAUUUACCAACAAUAAUUUGUUUACCACCGUAUGCUUUUCUACCAAUUUAACAACAGUAAUAUGUUCACCCACCGUAUGUUUCCUACGGGAGACAAGCCUCUAGCGAAAACUAUCGCCCCGGGGUCUAUUCACAAAUAUAUUUACAAAAAUACUAAAUACUUCUUUGAAUUUUAUUAUUUGUAUUUAUUUUUUAUAUUUAAUAUAUUUUAGCUAUCUAUAUAUCACUACUUACCGUUUGCAAGUAACUAGUUCAAGGCGAUUGACAACCCUCUUGCUCGCGUUGGGUGCAAUUGUUUGCUAUUUUGUGUGUAGGCGCUGAACACAGGAAAAUGUGUCGUUCUUCUAUUGGUUUAAUAACCUUGGUUCUCACUGAGGAAAUACUUAUCUAUUCUCUGCUUCAUCAACUCCUCUUUGGGGAUAAAUCCAACGCAGAUCACAAUUAUCACGCGUGCGUUCCCACCCAACAUCGGCGGCCCACAUUCAUACCGAUGUAGAGCGGUCGCUCCGCAUUGAAGCCAUCCCGGAGCGGAUGUGGCAUCUCACUAGCACCGACGUUGAAGCGGUGCAUCGACCGACAGUGCCGCCCAUUGCACACCCGUGUGAGCAUGCCUCUUCGCUGCACUCAAACGCCUCUAUUAAACCCGCAUGUGUGCCAAGAAACCUAUUAUAGUAACAUGUCCAUUUGCGAGAUAGUCGGCCUUAAACACAACACCGGGAAAGCUCCCUGCGCCCGCCUGCUAUAUAAAGGAGGCCAGACGCUGGUAAAGGAUCGCACCACUCCUCCACUCCACAUCUCCCCCUUCCACCAUUUUCCCCCCCUUUCCAUGGCAUCCGACGAGUAGGAAGAGCAGUUGUCCAGUAUAAAAGUUGGUUGGGUGGCUCGCUGAGCCCUCUAGAUACGAACUAGGCAACUUGCUGCUCCUCCUCCCUCGCCGAGCUCGACAAAGAAAGUGGCCGCACCAAGCCGGCGCCUAGUUCAACAACUCUCUAUUCCAAGCCAGCUCACAGAGGAGUAGAGAGUUGCUCCAGACCGGCAUGGUGGAACUGACAUCAUGGCUGCCAUGGACGAGGCCAGGCGCCAAGCCAUCCAGCGUCGACUUUCGCGGAACCGCGUCGUGCUUGUGGACAAAGAAACUAGCUUGGAGAUUGACAAGGCUGCGGGGUUCGUGGGAGUUACCCGCAACUCUCAUACCAGUCGUGCAUGGCAAAAUUUUAGUCAUCGACUUGACUCAUUCCCGUAACCCACGGUGCCGCGCGGCGCAACGCGGCGCGGCGUGGCGAGGAGAGGCGGGCGACGGAGGAGCGCGCGUGUAUGUCUCUCUUGUUCUCAUGCUCAUACAUGUGUGAAACAUCAUCCCUUAUAAGGAGGUCCAACUCCUACCAAACUAGCAACGUGGGACUAAACUUUAGUUCCACCUCUUUCCUUGCACGAAUGGGAUAAGUGGGCCUCUAGGAUUUAUUGGAAAUUCUGAAGAAGAUCAUUGGGCUAGCCCAAAAUUAUUAAAUUCCAGCAAUCCCCCACCAGAUCCUAGAGGCACAAAAAAAUUGCCUUUGGUUCCAAAACACUGUUUAUAUACCGGUACUGCACAGGAGACUAUUAAGUUUAACUUCCACCUAGAACUAUAUGUUAUACUAGUAAGCAACUUGAAUAGUGGACUAUGCCUUGAACUGCAAGUUUUCUGUGAAUCUAGUUUCACAUAGAGCCUUGACUGAUACUAGGCUACCGUUGGUGGAGCUUAUGCGUCAUACUCCGAGGACUUUCAUAAGUUUACUAGAGAGCACCCUACUCUCAUAGAUUGCGAUGUUAACAAUCAGACUCAUGUAGGUGUGUUCUUCAAAAGAGUUCUGUAGGACAACAUCUCUGCUUCAACAAGACAUUUAGAACAUAUAAAGAUAUAUAUCAACCUUCCAUGCAUAUUAGGAAAGUAUUGCAUCUUCAUGGAGUGGUAUUAUCAAUGGUAAGGAUACUUUCCUCUCACUUGACCAACAACUUGUCUUCCACAUCUAAUUCACGGGAUCUCCGGUCACAUUGAAUAGUUUAGCACCGUGAACAACUCAUAUUGUGGGUCUCAUACCCAUCCCCUUCGAUGCAUUAUAUAUCACAUUACAAGAUAGACCCUUAGUAAAAGGAUAUGCCAAAUUUUUAGAUGUUUGGAUAUAAUCCAAUGAAAUAACUCCGGAGUUUCUCAUUUUCCUCACAGAGUUUAACCUUCACUGAACAUGUCUUGAUGACUUCAUGUUAUCCUAUGAACUACUCACUUUUGCACUUACAGUUUGAUUGUUGUGGUUCAUAAGAACACCUGGUGCAGGUUUCUCAACAAACUAUAAGUCAUUCAAGAGCCGACGAAGCCAAUCUUCUUCGCCAUAGCUGUAUCUAGUGUUGUGAGUUCUGCUUCCAUUGUUGACCUCGUUAAGAUUGUUUGCUUGCAAGACUUCCAAGAAACAGCGCCACCACCAUGAGUAAAUACAUAUCCGCUCGUGGCCUUUAUCUCAUCAGCAUGAGAGAUCCAGUUUGAGUCACUAUACCCUUCAAGUACCUUUGGGUACCGAGUGUAUUGAAUUCCAUAACUCGUAGUGCCCUUCAAAUAGCGCAUAACUCUUUCUAGAGCUUUCCAAUGAUCAUCUCCUGGUUUUGAGACAAACCGGCUCAGCUUGCUAGCAGCAAAAGAGAUGUCACGUCUCGUAGCGCUUGCUAAAUACAUGAGCGAGCCAAUUAUUUGGGAUUAUUUCAAUUGAUCUCUAGCAAUUAUUCGAUUCUUUCGAAGCAACACGCUAGCAUCAUAAGGUGUUGGAGAAGGCUUGCAGUUAGUAUAACCAAAGUGACUCAAGAGAUUUUCCACAUAGUGAGAAUGAAGCAAAGUAAUCGCACCGUCAUCACUUCUCAGCAGCUUGAUAUUCAGAAUAACAUUAGCUAAUCCUAAAUCCUUUAUCUCGAAACAACGAGAUAGGAAAUCCUUGACUUCCUUAAUAACAUUCAUAUUUGUUCCGAAAAUCAAUAUGUCUUCAACAUAUAAGCAGAGGAUAACUCCCUCGCCCCCACCAUGGCGAUAGUACACACAUUUGUCAGCUUCGUUUACAACAAAGCCUACACCUAUUAAAGUUCUUUCAAACUUCUCAUGCCACUUCUUAGGUGCUUGCUUAAGUCCAUACAAUGACUUCAAAAAUUUGCACACUUUUCCCUCAUGACCGUCCAUUAUAAAUCCAUAUGGUUGUUCCAUAUAAAUUUCCUCGUCCAACUCUCCAUUUAGGGAAGCAGUCUUAACUUCCAUUUGGUGGACGAGAAUACCAUGUGAAGCUCCUAGUGAAAGAAGUACUAGAAUAGUGGUCAGUCGAGCCAUAGGUGAGUAAGUGUCAAAGAAGUCUUCACCUUCCUUUUGGGUAUAACCUUUGGCCACGAGUCAUGCCUUGUACUUCUCAAUAGUACUAUCAGGCCUAAGAUUCUUCUUGAAUACCCAUUUGCAGCCUAUAGGUUUGCACACAUAGGGACAAUCAGUUAUCUCACAAGUUUCAUUUGCGAGGAUGGAAUCCAUCUCACUACAAACCGCUUCCUUCUAGUAGUCAGCAUCUUCAGAUACAUAAGCCUCUGAAAUAGAACUGGGAGUGUCUUUUAUGAGAUAUACAAGAAAAUCAUCACCAAAGGACUUUGUAGUCCUUUGACUCUUGCUCCUUUUAGGAUUCUCCUUGUUGUUCUCCACAGGAUCUUCAAGAUGUUGUGUUGCAAUAGUCGGUUCAGAAGGUGCACCUACAUCUUGACUCGAUAAGCUAGGCAUCUCCUGAUUUGAUGCGCUAGCCAUAUCCUUAAUGGGAAAUAUAUCUUCAAAGAAGGUCACAUCAUUCCACUCCAUGAUUGUGCCAACAUGCAUGUCAGAUACCUCAUAUUUUAUAAUCAAGAAUCUACAACCAAUGCUAUGAAAAUAUACCCCAGGAAAACAUAAUCCACAGUUUUUGGCCCAAGCUUUCGCUUCUUUGGAAUUGGUAUAUUGACUUUUGCCAAGCAGCCCGAAGUUCAUAGGUAAGAGAGUUUUAACCUUUUCUUCUCCCAUUCCUCAAAUGGAGUUAUCUCUUUGUUCUUUGUGGGAACUCGGUUUAGGACAUGACAUGCAGUCAAAAUCGCAUCCCCCACCAUGCCUUGGAGAGACCUGAUAUGACUAAAAUGGCGUUAACAAAAUCAGUUGGAGUGUGGUUCUUCAUUUCAGCUACCCCAUCUGACUGAGGUGAAUAGGGAGGCGUUCUCUCAUGGAUUAUACCAUGUUCGGCACAAAAAGAAUCAAAUUCAUUGAAAAAAUACUCUCCACCAUGAUCAGACCUAAGCCUCUUAAUUUUCUGAUCAAGUUUGUUUUCCACUUUAGCUUUAUAGAUCUUGAAGAAAUUCAAAGCCUCAUCUUUAGAUUUUAAAAGAUACAGAUGGUACCAUCUAGUGGAGUCAUCGAUUAAUGUCAUAAAAUAUGACUUUCCACCUUUCGUCAAAAACACUGUUCAUUUCACAAAGAUCUGAAUGUAUGAGUUGUAGUGGCGCAAGAUUUCUUGUUUCUGCAGUUGCAUGAGACUUACGAGGUUGCUUAGCUUGCACACAAACUUGACCCUUAGAUCCCUUGAUAGAAGUGAAGUUCAGGAUCAAGUUCAACUUGACUAGCCGCGUCAUAGAACCAAAAUUAACAUGACAAAGACGUGAAUGAAAGACAUUUGAUUCUCUAUUAUUGCAAACGUGAUUAAACCCUUUAUUACAAAACAUCUAAUAAAGAUAGUCUGAACAAGCCUCCUGACUCAUAACCUUUACCAAGAAAAGUUCCAUACUUGGAUAUAAAAUUUAUUGGACUGAAAGACAAACUUGUAGCCAUCUCAACAUAGAGGAGAUCCACUAACAAGAUUUUUAUUAUCGGAGGGUACAUAAUGCAUGUUCUUCAGCCGCAUUAUUUUUCCUGAAGUAAACUUCAGAUCGACCGUGCCAACACCACGAACAUAAGCACUUGAACCGUUUCCCGCCAGGAUGGAGGUAGUCCCUGCGGCCUGAUAUGAAGAAAACAUAGAAAUAUCACCGCAUAUAUGCACAUUAACACCCGUAUCAAUCAACCAAUCAGGAGAACGACAUAGUGAGAGAAUAGUGGGAAGUAUACCAUACCCAACAUCCUGCAUCUCAGCAUCACCAAUGAUAACAUUAGCAAUCUUGUCGCCUUUCCCAUGUUGACGCUUUUCAUAACGGUUAGGGCAACUAGGUGCCCAAUGAUGAGGAUCUCCGCAAACAUGACAAACACCUUUCUUUUUGUCAGUCUUCUUCUUGAGUGUGCUGUGAAGCCUUGUUCUUCCCAUCAAACUUUCCCUUACCAUCAAAUUUGCCCUUGUUAUUGAACUUGUGGGGUUGGAAGUUUUUCUUCUGCACCAGAUUGGCACUAGAACCUCCUUCCAUACCUCAAGCAUGUAUGUCUUGCCUUUUCUUCCACAUCAAGAUUACCAAUGAGAUCCGGAACGGAAAACUCCUUCCUCUUAUGAGUGGGAGAGGUAGCAAAGUUCCUCCAUGAAGGAGGAAGCUUAGUAAUAAUACCUCCGGCAACAAACUUCACCGGUAACAUACAAUUGAAGUUCUCAAGUUCUCCAGCAAAUGAUUGUAUCUCGUGAGCUUGUUCAACCACAGAACGCUCAUCAGUCAUCUUUAUUCAUAGAAUUGUUCCAUGAUAUACAGCUUAGUGCCAGCAUUCGAGACUCCAAACUUGGCCUCGAGCACGCUCCACAUAUCUUUCCAUUGUCAAUUGACGCAUAAGCAUCAACAAUGUUCUCACCAAGAAUACUCAAGAGAGCAUCCUUAAACAAGGUAUCAAUUUUCUGAAAAGCGAAUUCCUGUUGAGGAUCAAGAAUUCCUUCAGGUUUGCCAAGAGUGGCAUCGUAGCAGCUCAUGGUUUGAAACCAUAGAACAUCCCUUACACACCAUCUCUUAUAGUGCACACCCUCGAACAUAGGAGGCCUCAUGGAAGCAGCAAAACCACUCGGGGUAAAUUUCCUAAAAUAAGGUCUUCGGAUUGUUGGAAAUAUGAGCGAUUUACCAAGUGAUUUUACUAGCAGAAAUAGUAGAUGAAUCAUGACUACCAUAGCAAUUAUAAGACAAGCCAGUCGAUUAUACACAGAGUAUGCAAGUAGCAUAUGAAGUGAUGAGCAGGAACGAAACAUAUCUAGAAAAGAAACUAUAACAAGAAGUUGUGGCAGGAACUCAAACAAGAAGAACACGAGAACAUACUGAGUUGGAGCAGCAGCUAUAGUGGGAUUUGCGUUGACGUCGUCAUUGGCCAUGUUGCCGAAGAGGCUGUCGAUGUCGGGGAAGAAGUCGUCAUCCGGGAAGUAGUCGUCAGCGUUCGUGAUGGAAAAGCCAGUAGUCGCAUUGAGCGCUCCCCAAAAACCUUAUCGCCCUUCUCCAGUACAUGACUCAAAGAGACGGGGUUUCGGAGGCCUACUGUUCCGACCUGCGGUGCACGUCGCAAGCCGGGGCGGGGAAAAGCUAGCAGUAGCUCAGAGAUUGGAACUCGUUGGCAUGAGGAAGAUGGUAUUCUCGUGUGUCUCUCUGGAGAGGAGCGACCUGUCUUUUAUAGGCCCAUGAGAAGGAGGCAGGCACGCAACAUCGGGAGGCGAAGCAAAAGAGAUUGCAGUCAGGUUGAUAAUAGUCGAGUGACAUUACUUCGUCGGUCCAAACUAAGGAAUCUGUUAUAAAUGUUUUGAAAUAGAUAUUGUUCUCUCUUUGAUCAGGGAUUGCUAUAUGAAAAUAAGUGGAGUUUGAAAAAGGGAACGAAAUGCUCAAACCGGAACUGCUAGAGGAACGAAUUUUCAAUAGCAUAACUUGGGCUCCUAGAAUAUGGUGCCCUUGAGACAAUCUAUUUGAUUGCAGGGUUUUGUUCUGAAGCAAAGAUAUCCGCAGAGGACGGUUCGUUCGUCCUAUUCUGAUAUUCAGGACCAAGAGGUACUGCAUUCUCUGGCUGAAAUGCCAACGGAACUCUGUCUAUUCUCUAAUUCACCCGAUCCGAUAGUACCUGUUUUUGGAACGUCCAGUGCCAAAGUCAUUGAAUGGGUAAGUCACGAAUCCAAUCCCUUUGACAAAUCGGAUGUCAUAUUAUAUAUCAUAUCCUAUAUAUAUAUAUAGAAAUAUCAUAGAUACCCCGUUUCGUGACGAGGCGAGACGGGCGGCGGAGGAGGAGGAGCGUGCGUGUAUGUCUCUCUUGUUCUCAUGCUCAUACAUGUGUGGAAACAUCCUUUCUUAUAAGGAGGUCCAACUCCUACCAAACUAGCAAUGUGGGACUAAACUUUAGUCCCUCCUCUUGCCUUGCACGAGUGGGCUAAGUGGGCCUCUAGGAUUUAUUAGAAAUUCUGAAAAAGGUCAUUGGGCUGGCCCAAAAUUAUAAAAUUCUAGCACAUAAUUGGGGGGGGGGGUAUACCUCUGGGGCUCCCGAUAGUCCGAUGAGCAGGCUGCCGGACAUGAGGCAGACAAAGGGAUCCGCAGCGCUCGGCCAUAGAUUAGUGUAGGGUAUCCAUGUCGUUAGAAUGGAGCUCCACGCGACCAGACGUGCACAUAGUUUUACCUAUUUUAGUUCAAAUAUGUCCAAAAUGCAAUGAAUUUAGUCCGGUUUAUAUGAAAUCCGUUGUGUUUGCAUGAGUUUCAUCUGCUUUGUUGGAAAAGUGUUUGAAAUAUACUUCCUCCGUUCCAAAAUAUAAGACCUUUUAGGAAUUUCACUAUAAGACUACACACGGAGCAAAAUGAGUGAAUCUAUACUCUAAAAUAUGUCUAUGUACAUCCGUAUGUAGUUUAUAGUGCAAUCUCUAAAAGGUCUUAUAUUUAGGAACGGAGGGAGUAUGUGAGUAACGAUGGAUGACCGACAACACUCGAGAAUAUCAUUUUUGGUGGUGCUCCUCAGGUGCCGAGUCAUCACUUUCAAGGUGAAAACCUAAGGUCUAACUUUCGUUUUGUGCCUUAUAUUAGAGUAUUUAACCAAAAACCACCAUAAUUCAUGGAAACGUGCCUAGAAACUACUACUAUACGUUUUUGUGCCGAAAGCUACCAUUUUUAUCCUAAUCAGUGGCAAAAAACUACCAAGUGUGAAUAUUGCUCCAUUAGCCUCUUUGAAAUGCCUUUUAUCCUAAUCCGUUAACUACUCCAUUAACCUACCUGGCGCAGCCCCGCCGCCGUCGCCAUGGCCUCGCCCAAAGCGGCGGCCGCCCCGUGCCUCGCCGUCGGCAGGCCUCCUUGUCGCCGACCACGUCGCCGUCGGAUCCCGGCGUCCUGCGAACCGCCCCACGCUGCCAGUCUCCAUGCCCUCGCACCGAGCGGCGGCCGCCCCGCGCCUCGCGGCCGAAGGCCUCCCGUCGUGGACCCUGCCGUGGUUGGAUCCCACCGCCUCGCCUCCCUGGCGCAGCCUCGUUGCCCCGUGAACCGCCCCGCGCCGUCCAUCGCCAUGGCCUCGCCUCGAGCGGUCGUCGCCAGCGUCUCGCCGUCACCAGAUCCGGCAGGCGUCGCCCUGGUUCCGCCUCUCCCGGACCUCCCCGCCGCCCUGCUCAUGCCGGAGUGCUGCGUGUAGAUCGCGUCGUCUCCUCCAGAUCCGGUCGCACCGCCGCCGUACUUCAUCUUCUCCACCUCCGGUGAAGGCCGCCGCCGUCUCGAUCUCUUUCUCCGGUGACGGCAAACUUAACGGUGCUGACUUUUCCGUCCUGACAUGUGGGCCAACCCUGUCAUAAUGAGUUUAAACGAGCCAAAUGAGGCGUUUUGCAGACUUGAUUGUUUUUAGUCACAGAUUAGCAAAAAAAAAUUGAUAGUUUUUGGCGCAAAAACGAAUUGUGAUAGUUCCUGGGCACGUUGGCGUGAAUUGUAGUAGUUUUUGAUUAAAUACUCCUCAUAUUACCUUGAUGAAGGUAUUGUUUCGAGAGCUCGGUCUUUUUAAGGGAGAAAACCUAAGAUCUUGGAUCGGACGACGAUGACGCUUGUGCACCGAUUUUUUUUUAAAGGCAUCAUUUUUUAGGAUGGUUUGAGUGUCGCUGCUGCUGAGAAGAGUUGUUCACUGUGACGAGUAGUUGAAAAUGCUCUUACUAUUACAUUUUUCUUUCAAACACGUUACAGUUUACUCCCACCUCAAGUAGUUCCGAGCUACUGUACGUAGUAGCCACACACAUGGAGCGACUCACUCACCUCCAACCAAUUUAACUUUCGUGAAUCUUUGAUCGCUUUUCAUUUGGCCCAGCUCGACGUCACGCGGAUGUCCCCGAUGGAUCUCGCCGGCCACACGCCCCUCGACGACGACGAGAUGAGCAGCGUGUGAUCCUCGUCGCCCCGUCCAUCCAACCGAAGAUAAGACGCCCACUCCCUCCCCUCCACAUGGCACCCACCCUCCAAUCCCUUACUUAUUCCCGCCCCCCUCACUCCUCCAUCCCCUAGCUCCACCUCUCAUCCGCUCCUCAGCCACACCUAGAGCAUCUUAGCUCCAGCUAGCCACCAAUGGCCGCCGCACUGAGCCUCCGCGCGCCCUUCUCCGUGCGCGCUGUGGCGCCACCGGCGCCCCGCGUGGCCCUUGCGCCCGCGGCCCUCAGCCUCGCCGCCGCCAAGCAGGUGCGGGGAGCCAGGCUCCGCGCGCAGGCGACGUACAAGGUGAAGCUGGUGACGCCCGAGGGCGAGGUGGAGCUGGAGGUCCCCGACGACGUCUACAUCCUGGACCAGGCCGAGGAGGAGGGCAUCGACCUGCCCUACUCCUGCCGCGCCGGCUCCUGCUCCUCCUGCGCCGGCAAGUUGGUGUCCGGCGAGAUCGACCAGUCCGACCAGAGCUUCCUCGACGACGACCAGAUGGAGGCAGGGUGGGUGCUCACCUGCCACGCCUACCCCAAGUCCGACAUCGUCAUCGAGACCCACAAGGAGGAGGAGCUCACCGCAUAAGCUGCUUACCCUGCCUCUCUUUGCAACAAGAUCGAGCUGAUAUCAUAUUAUCUCCCAUCAUGCAUGCAUGCAUGGAUAUCGCCAGAUACACCGAUUUGUUUGUGCUCGAAUGAAUUGCUCGAUGCAUGGUUUGCUCCAGUAAUAAUGUCUUCGAAUUACUACCUUUUUGUACCGUAAGAUAUACUACUGUCGUAAUACUAGCGUGUACUUAAUUCAACGUACUGAAAUGAAUCCUGAUGGCUGAGGUGUCUCUCUGAUUAAUAAUAUCUUCUUUUUUACUUAAGAUAAGAGACUGCUGAAUGUUGGUUGCUAACGGUGGUGGUUGAUGUUGAAGUUUUGUUGCUGCAAGUUGAUUGCUUCGCCGCGUUAUGCCUUGCCUUGUUUCUCAUUUAUGUAUUUUUGAUGAUGCAUCGUCGCACUAGGUAGCUCUUGAAUUGUGUUUGGGGGCACCUUGAAAUUAAUAAACAGUAAGGUAGGUCACAAUGUCUUCAACCCCCUUUCUAGAAACCACUCUAACAUCAAAUAGAAUAUUACUCUAUUGAUUAGUACAGAGAUGCUAUAUACACUUUGUCACAGUUUGUACAGAGAUUGUAGGUGAAUGCAAUUGAAUUAAACCAUAUGUGACAUGCACCGUGAAGUCGAAACCUUGCAACAUAGUGUCAGAAAUAACAAAUCGAUGUCUUACUUCAUUAGAUGUGGAACCAUCUACCCUCGUUGUUGAUCAUCAUAAUGGUUUUAUAAACCCCCAACAUGUUGUGUUUUAAAACGAUUGUACCAUGUUCUUGUUUCGACUGCCGGGGGGAGGGCUCGUGAUGACCUACUCUUUCUCAAGUUAUCAUGUUAGUCACUUGGAUGACUUAGGCCCUGUUUGGAACUAUAAUACUCCCUCCGUUCCAUAAUAUAAGUCUUUUUAAAGAUUCCACUAAAAAACUACAUACAGAUGUAUAUAAACAUACUUUAGAGUGUAGAUUCACACAUUUUGCUCCGUAUGUAGUCCACUAGUGAAAUCGCUUAAAAGACUUAUAUUUAGGAACGGAGGGAGUAGAUUAUAAUAAUCUAGAUUAUGAAGAUAGAUUAUAUAAUCUGGUUUAUAAAAAUAAUCUAGAUGGACAUGUUUGGAGGCCGGAUUAUAUAAACUGUAAUCCAGAUUUUACAUUGCAUAAUGACCUGUCUGCCCUCUGUUUAAAAAAAAAAAAGGGUGGCGGUGGUAGGAAUGUAAUUAUCUCCAACUUUACAAGGGUAAUAGAUCAUUAGCAAUCCAUAAUCUGAUUUUAGCUGGUAUAGACUAGAUUAUGAGUUUUUAAUAAUAUAUCCAUCUAGUUUUUAUAAUCUACACCAUAAGCUGUCCUGUUUGAAGACAAAAUAGAUUAUAGAAACUGGAUUAUAUAAUCUGGAUGGUUCCAAACAGGGCCUUAGAUGGAGAUAAUGCACACCAUUGAAAAAAUUAUACUUAUAGAUAGGGUCACUUUAGUGGCUGGAAUAGUCUCGGACCUGUCACUCGUACUUCGGUCCAACAACGUACAUGCCAUUGCAAUUUACUGAGCAGGGAUUGCCGCCCGCCACUGAUUUUCUAGUCCCACAUUGGCCAUGGGGAAACCUUUUCAGUGGCGGGCGGUCGGGUACAACCUACCACUGGCAGUGAAGUUGUCACUGGCAGGCACCGGUUUCCUCCAACCAUUAGUGCACCACAUAUGUAAUUUUCUAAUUUCCUGCAUUUGUUUUUACAUUUUAGUGUGGUAUUCUUUUGUGACUUUGUUACUGUAUGAGAAUUGUUUGACCUUUGUAGUAUCUUUAUUUGCUAUAUUUUAGACAUUUUAUUAAUAAAGUUGUAUUUAAUUGAAUAUAAUUAUAUUUUUUGAACUACAACUAUAUAUUUUAAAUUACUUUCAAAGGUUCGAAGACAAAUAUUUAUGUCUCGUGAAACAAUAGUAUUGUUUCACCAAUAUUUGAGCAGUUUUUCAGCAUAUGUAGUUCAUAUUUAAUUUAUGUCCAUUAGAUAAACUAAAAAUGCAUUUAAUGCCCCAAAUAUAUCAUAUAAACCUAGAAACGCAUUUAAUGCCCCAAAUAUAUCAUAGAAAACUAGAAUAGUCCUGAAUUUGACCAAGGAACUUGUAAUGGUGUAUACCAAAAAUAAAAAAAGUUUCUGUUAAAAAAUGAUGAAAAAAUUGUGUUCCCAUUCAAACCCAACAUUUUCCCUUAGAAACGUUGAUACUUCCGUGGAGACUGUUAUUUCUACGUGAAGUGCAUCGGAUUUUUUCUGUGAGUCUCUAAUUUUGUUACCACACCUUCGGUUUCAUAUCAUGACACCAUGCAAAGUUCCAUCAUUUUCAAACUGAAUUUACAUCUAUGUAUAAAAAAAAUCAAUACUCUUAAUAGCUAGAAAUUGAUCUGAUGCUUAAAAAUAGCAAAUCAACCCAAAAGGUGAUAAAGUCUAUCAUGAGUCUUUAUGAAGUAAAUUCAACCCCACAAAAGGUGGAAAUUAAAUUCUACCCCUAAAGCAGUAAAGCAAACAUAUUGCAAAAAAUGCAAAAAAGUAGCGUGCGACCAUAAACACCCUCCAUUGAUUGAUUUUGGUCACAUUCCCGCGAGUGAGUGGGACAUGCCCGCACCUUCAACCUGCAAAUGUGGUUGCCUUAUCCCCCAUUGUCGACCUCUCCCAUCCGACUCUACCCAAUCCCUAGCUUGCAAUCACCAUUGCUGCACCCGUCGUUGUCGCCGGCGAGGGAAUCAUCGUCUUUUUCAUGGGUUGUCAUUGUUGCAACAACCCCGGUCAGCGUGGCCGAAAUGCCCACCCCAUGGCCUCCUCCACCAGCAAUGGUGGCCUAACCCGCUGCCACUAGCCUCCUCUUCCUCCAAGCCCGAUGCCUUUAACUCUCCCCAUGUCUCCUUGCGCGUCGGUGGCCCCAAUCUCCUGGUUGUAUUUUGCAAUUGCAAAGGACAUUGUAUUCGUUGUGAGAUACUUAAAUCUGUUGAAAGGAUAUCGAAUUCUAUAAGCAACAUGCUUCUUGCUUGUGGAAUGUGCAGGCUAUUCUUUCAUGGAAAAUUUGGUCUUAGGAUACUUGGGGAUAGGAAAUAGAGAAUUAAUCAAGGUAGAUUGUUGUUAAUCCAUUUUGCUUCAUAUCCUUCUAUUGAUGUAUGAUUAGCUCGUUCUUUCUAGACUACGCCAUAUACAUCAUUUCUUUAGCAAAUUUAUUUACUCCUGCUUGCAUAACUAUGUCGUAUGCAUCAUUAUGCUUAGCUCCUGCUUGCAAGAUUACUUGAGGAUAAUAGGAAGCAAUUAUGGUUUCAGAAUAAACCAAUCAGAAUAAGAAACACAUCCUCUAUACUCACAUCAUCUUUUAUACCUCAAUGCUUGUAGGUGUAGUGUUUUUUGCCCCAUGCAAAUUUGUGUUACGUCAUCUUUUAGAUACAAAUCAUGGUACCCUUGUUCCUGUCUUGACAUCAUGGUCAUGUUUUAAAAAAAGCAUUUUCUUAUUUAUGUUACACCCCACAUGUAUGUAUACAUAUAUUUCUUUUUUAUGUCUCUUUGAAGGUUGUUAGUGCCACAUGUAGGUGGGGUUGUAUUUUUUUAUUGGUGAAAGUUGUUGGUUCUACAUGUUGUGUCACCUUAUAUAAGGUGUAUUACACUUUAAAUAGUAAUGUGCAUAUCUCCAAAAUUUGUAGGGCUUCAAAAUGAGUGCCAAAAUUCUGGCGAAAUGUUGAUUUAUUUCCAUUUCACCACAUUUUGAGCACUCAAUAUUUUCAAUUUUUUUAGCAAAACUAUGCCCAACUUUUCCAAUGAUUCAUAAUUGUUUACCCUUAUUAUUUUAUAGAUGUACUGGCUAUACUAUAGUGUAUAAAUGAUGCGACGAACUAUGUGUUUUCUAUUUAAUUUCUCAACAUGAAUGUAUGCAAUCAACCAUGUAUACCCAUGAUGUGGUAACAUCAACGUAGGUGUGUGCCACAGGUGCUUAUCAACUCUAAGGAAUUCUACGUAGAUCUUGACGAGAACUUUCCACAGAGGAUUGUACGUUUUAAUUCAACAUGUGUUGUGGAUGCUGAAUUGCUCACAUAUAUAAAAUUACCCAAAAAAUGUCUAUUUUUCAUAUUUCUCCAUGCAUCCCUUGUUAUGCAAGGCUCACUUCCUACAUAAAGUGAACGUGCCAUAGAGGAGAAGGUUACAUUUGAGCUCAAGAUGAUCAUGUUAAAAAAUGGCACAACCUUCAACCUUACGGUCACCAACGAGGCACACGGAACCUUUCAGUUGCCCAUGUUGAAGAGGGAUUGCAACCGAAUAAAUGAUGCAAAAUGCGAAGGCAUUCUUGUUUUUUUAGCGAAGGCGUUCUUUGUCGUUUCUUGGCGAACAAGAUGAUGAUGACAACAUCUAUAUGUGGUUCACACCGCCCCCACCACCAUAGUUGUUCUUGGUGGAAGGAUUCGGAGUUCAUAGGCAUAGUUUUAUCAUGCACUUCAUUUAAUGCAUAUGUUAUAUCUUUUUAUAAUCAUCCAAAUUUAUUCCUCAAAUAACGGCUAUAUCAUUUAAAAUUAAAAGAGAAAUAGAGUUUAGGGGACUAGAAUCCCAAAUAGAAGAGGGUCUAUAGGUAAAACUAGUCUUUGCUAGAGAAUCUGCUAUUUUGCUUCCCAAAGCAAUGGGCAAAAGAUGUGCCAGCAAAGUCCAUCACCAGAAAAUAGCAUUCCACGAUAGUGGCUGCAUCUGGCUCGAAAUUAUUCGUAUGCCAGUUCACAACCUCCACAACUAGGAUACCCAUGAUGUUUCGAUAAUCACAUUAGGUUUCCAUCACAUUAUUGCACACAAUGUUUCCAGCCAAACGAGCCCUUUGCGAAUGGCACUUAACUCUAUCAAAUCGGCACUACUGACAUGAGGCAAAUACCAUGUAACAGUGAAUGACACUUAACUCUAUCAAAUCGGCACUACUAACAUUAGGCAAAUACCAUGUAGCAGUGAAUGGCACUUAACUCUAUCGAAUCGACACUAUCGACAUGAAGCAAAUACCACAUAGCAGCGAGAGAAAGUUGCCUUUGUCAUCACGUACAAUAGCUCCCAUCGCACUCGAUUGUGUUUCAUAACGGAAAGAAGCAUCCACACUAACAUUAACACUUCCCAUGUUAGGUCUCUUCCAUAUAUGAUAUUUUUUUCAUACAGCUGAUUUGAAGUUACUGCUCUUAUGAAAUCUUUGGCCAAAACAUUGAUAGAAACUGCUCCCUUUUAGGGUUUUGGAGAGUGUAGGAUCGAAAGUAUGUCUAGUGGAGGGGGCUUCAUUAGACUACUUGAUAAGAUAAAAACUGAACCUUUUUCCUAAUUUUAGUUGUGGGCUAGUUUUAGCAAUUAUGACUAGUCAAGUUCAUCCUACUCAUGCAUAUCUAAGAUUAUAGCAGCGGAAAGUAAAGACAUGCAAAUGUAAUGAAGAGGGUAAGGUAGGAAGAUCAAAUGCAAAGGUCGACACGGUGAUUUUUGGCGUGGUUCUGAUAGGUGGUGCUAUCGUACAUCCAUAUUAGUGGAGACUUCAACCCACGGAGGGUAACAGCUGCGAGAUUACACAAAGGGCUCCACCCACAAGGGCUCCACGAAGAAGCGGCCUUGUCCAUUCCACCAUGGCUUACGUCCACACAAGACUAACCUCACUCACGGUAGAUCUUCACGAAGUAGGCGAUAUCCUUGCCCUUACAAACUUCUUGGUUCAACUCCACAACAUGAAGUAGGAGGCUCCCAAGCGACACCUAACCAAUCUAGGAGGCACCACCCUCCAAAAGUUAAUAGAUGCAAUAGAAGGAUGAACUCCUUGCUCUUGUGCUUCAAAAGAUAGUCUCCUCAACACUCAAUCACUCUCUCAUAGAUUUUGCAUGGGUAGGAGAGAUUGAUCCCAUGGAAAGCAACUUGGGGAGGCUAGAGAUCAAGUUUCAAAUGGUUGAAUUGGAAUCUCUUGAUCUUAACACAUGCAUGAGUAGGUGGCUUUCUCUCAGAAAUAUGGAUCUGGCAAGUGGGUGUGUGUUCUCAGUGCUUCCUUUUCGAAUGCGAGGAGGUGGAGGGGUAUAUAUAGACAUCUCCCAGAAUCCAACCAUUACCACAUUAUUUCCCAAUGCGGUGACACCGAAAGGAAUCUUAGUGGUACCAAGUUGCAAUAAAUGUGGCACCUUUUGAAUUCUUGGUAGACCAAUAUAUGAAUCUCGAUGGUAAAGAUACGAUGAUCUAGACCAGUUUCCAAAUCUCGGUGAGACCAAUUCCAAUCUCGGAAAUUCUGAUUGUUGGAAUUUUCUCAACAGAAAGUUGGUCAUUGAAUCUCGGUGGCUCUCAUAUGAAAGUUUGUGGUACCGCCAGAUUAGAGUCUGGCAACGGAUCCAUUGGGUGGAAAAUUAGUAGGGCCAAGUGGAAAAUAUUGGUGGCACCGAUUUUGCUCGUUUAGCUUUGGACAGGGAUAUCUUGUGGGAGAAUGGCUUAGUAGUUUUGGUGGCUAUCUCUAAGCACUUGAGCAACCAAUUCACCGUAAUACCUCACCCCCUUUAAAUAGUAUUGGCCUUCCUAUGGACUCAAAGUGAUUUAUCACAUAUGUAAAAUGUAGAGUCUUCUUGCUUGAAGCUUGAGCUAAUCCUAUUCCUUCCUUCAUCAAGGGGUUUCUCCACACAAUCCUUUAGCCAAGGCAUCUUUGAACUUUUCUAAAAUAUACUUGGAUAACAUCAUUAGUCCAAUGAUGCAUAUGUUGUGAUCAAUUAUCAAAACCACCUUAGGGAGCAAUUGUGCUUUAAAUCUCUCCCUUUUUGGUAACUGACGACAACAUAUAGAUCAAAGCUUCAACAAAAGGUAUAAUCAAUUAUUAGCAUCGACGCUUUGAGAAGUACGUGGAAAGCAAGAGAUGCCCCUAUAUUUGUGCAUUAUUUUAUAUUUGCAUUGGAAUGCAAAUGCACAAUCGAUUAGGAUCAUGGGUCACUCUUCCAUGUCACAUAUAGCUUGGUGGUGCGCAUAAAUGAUAUGAAUAAAUAGUAAUGCACAUAACACCAAACAAGCAAGUGAAUGAUCAUCAAGUAGAUGGCUCCAAGGUAAUAACGUGGUAGCAGCAAUCAAACAAAGUAUAGAUCAAACACUUCUCCCAAACACAUAAAGUCAACCAAAAGACCAAAAAAUUGAAAAACCAAAUGAGACCAAAUAAAAUGCAAACCUCUCCCUCUCGAAGACUAUUUGAUCUAUACACUUGUCCUCCUUUGGCGACAAGUUACCAAAAAGUUUGAAGGUCUAGAACUAAUUAUCUCUCUGGCUUGAACUCCUCCGGUAGAUGAUGAUGGAGUGGAUAGGAGAGCGUCGAUGAAGGCUUUUGCACAUGUCCCUGGAGCUGGAGGUGUUGACACUAGAGGUGCAGGAGCAGGAGUUGAAGGUGCUAAAGCUUGAGCUGAUGAAGAUGGUCUUGCUUCCAGAACUGGCAUAGUUGUUGACCUAGUCUGGGUCGUGAACUGAGUAGUAGUAGGAAGAGGCGACUCUUCCUCAUCACUUCUAGAGCGGGAUAUAUGCACAGAAUCAACUUUAUGCUGGAGCUGCUCAACAGUGGUAGUCAACUCCGUUACCUUAACCUCCAAGUCAUGGAAUUUUGUCUCCACGAUCCUCUCAAGUCUCUUCUGGUUCAGCAAGAUCUCGGAAAUUUUCUUCUCCAUCCCUUGGAUGGUACUGACCAAGAAUGACAUCUGCUCAUCUCUGGUCCUGAGCUAUGCGGUUGAAGCUGGAGCAUUCCUAGCAGCCGCUGUCUCUGCUACCUCUGCUGCCGCUUGAGCUGUAGCUGAGCUAGGAUGGCUAGGGUCCAUCACAACUUCAUUAUCUUCAAACUCUGGCUGAAGUGGCAGGUGGGGACGAUCAAGUAGAUAUGCAUGCUUGCCAAUCUUGGCAUUGAUGAGCAUCUGAAUAUAUGGAGCAUAUCCACAGGAUUUCUUUUGAUCUACAGCAGUCUUCCUCACAUGCUCAACUAUCAAGUCCAUCAUUAUGAACCGGAAGUGGGUGUCUAGAUGAUCCAACAUGUUGAUGGAAUAACCUCUAAUAAUCUUAUCCUCUCCUGAUUUGGGCAUGAGGGUGUAUCUCAUAAUGGUGUUUGUAGUAGGUAUCCCUGCUUGCAAGAAAUAGACAAAUCCAAACUUGUACAUCUGCACAUAUUUAUGAGGCACUGGCUUGUACAUUUUGCCGUAGAGUUAUGAUUCAUCUUGGGUUCUGAGUACACAUCCAGAUCUCCUUCUUGUGCCUUUGGAUCACCAAUUGUAGUGGCUCACUCAUACAUAAUAGACUCAUACCGGUGACCUUCAGUCAUCCAUACAAUCCUUCCGUCAGAACAGAAAUUAGCGAUGGAAUAGAAUUGCAUGAUCAUCUCAUCAUUCCAAGCAGUCAUCUCUCUGCCAACAAAAUAUUUAAUAUCGACUAGCCUGAAGUUUUCUCUCACAUGGGGAAAAUAAUGCUCACUGGCCUUGAUAUAUUCCCAAUGGACAUAUCUCAUAUCGCUGACUGCAAGACUCUUAUCAUGAAACACACUCUCAUAGAAAUCUUGUUGCUCCUUUAUGUGAAAGCGGGGAUCAACAACAGUUCUCCGUCUCACAUCAUAUGGAUCAACUGAUCUCCACUUACUCACUCCUUGAUCUCUCCUCUUUUGUAUGUCCUGAGCAGUUGGUGAGCAACAUUGUGUAGUGGCAGAUGAGCUCAAAGCUUCAUUAGAACAGGGGCACCCUCUUCCUCUUCUACCGCAAACUCUCUGGAUGCAGAGCCUUUGUUCCUCUGUGCUGCAGGAAUGUCCUUGGUAGUCUUCUUGGGAGCUACAGACUUCUUAGGAGUUGAGAACUUCUUGGGAGCAGAAGGCUUCUUUGGCAUAGCAUCAACCAUCGGCUUUUUCUUCAUAGGAGGAGGGACCUUAUGUGGAAUUUAUUCCUCCUCCUCAUCAACAACUUCUUCUGGGUCUUCAUAUAUUGAGGUUGGCCUUCCAAUAACAUAGUCAAUUCUCUUUCUUGCUCUCGUAUGACAUGGCUUCUUUGCAAGCCUAGCUUCUGGAGCUUUCAUGUCAGAACGUAUGGCAUAUUCCUUCCUCACAGUCUUCCUGACUGCGGUCUUAUCUUUCUGCUUCUCAGGAACAGAUUCCUCUGGAAUAAAGUCAACAUCUUCUUCAUCCGAAUUGAUCUUCCUUCUGGACCUGGUAGCUGCCUUGGACAAGCUAUGGGAGCUAGGUGUCCCUGGGUCAGAAGGUGUCCUCCUAGGACUAGUGCCUGAAUCCAUCUCAGCACUUGGCUCAGUGAAGUUGUUCUGACUAUCCUCUGAUCCUGACAUACUGUCACAGAGCCAAGUAGACAAUCAAACCCUAUGAAUAGAUAUACAAGAUCUAGAAGGGAUGAGCAUCACAAAAAUCAGAAGUUUUGGAAAAAUCGAACUCUGAAAAGUUAGGUUUAACAUUUAGCAAAAAAGGAUUUGUGUUCCAUCGAGACAAAAAUUUCGGAGGCACCGAUACUGACGUACUAAUUAACAGAAACUUGGCACCCUUUUCCGUUCCACUGAAAAGGAGAACUCACUUUCACCGAGACCGUUCUCGGUAGCCCUAAAAAAUCGUUAAGACCAACUUUUCUAAAUCGGUGACACCGAGAUUCAAUCUUGCGGAUGGCUAACCCUAAGAAUUCCAUUGUUCUCUAAUCUAUGGAAUUUUUCUUCUAGAUAGGAUGAGUGUAGAAGUGGACAAAAUUCAUCAAAACCUUAAUGCACAAGAAUCAGAAUUGGAGCGCAUAAAGGGGUCGGAUCCGUACCCUAGCUUGGUGAUGUAUCCGCUACGGCAACGACGACGGUGAAGAUUCCUGUUGACAACGAAGACUCCGGUGGUGAGGGCGCACGUGAGAAUUAAGGCGAUGUCCACGGGACUAGGGCGCGGCAUCGAGGAUGUGCGUCACGCGACGUUUGAAGUGAUUUUCCAAUCAUCGGGUCCGUGAGAUAUAUAUAUCUCCUAGCUGUCGGUGACACCGAUAUGGAAUUUUUGGUGCCACCGAGUUCCACAACUGUCAACUGAAAGUGAAAAUAGGUGAGGCCGGAAAGAACAACUCAGUCAUACCAAGUUAAGAAAACCUGAUCAACCCUAGGCUUCGGUGGGACCGAGAUUUUGUGGUUGGUCACACCGAGAUGCAAUUUGGGAGGUUUUGGGAUUCAGCACUUGUCGAGACGGAUCUAUCAAGCACUUGUGUCCCUAAAGUUCUUGCUCAAAUUUUGUGUUGUAGCAUGAAUAGAAUUUGAGACGAGAAAGCAUAGAUAGCUAGAGGGAAGUACUUAGGCAUUCUUGUAUAUCCAAUUGGCCAAAUGAAAUAGAAAGACAAAUAACAACAAUUGGAUAUCCUCGAAUGAGAAAAAUAUGCAUACCAACAUGCUCACACAAUAAGGUGUCAAAUAAAACAUGGUGAACAUGCACGAACAUUCUAGCAUCUAUCAAGCACUUUGGCGAUAAGGAAUUCAUCUAUAUAUGAGUAUAUUGACAUAGGAGCCAAGUAAGAGUACUUGACAAUAGGUCAUACUCAUCGAUUAAGAACAAGUGGGGUUAUCACUUUUACAUAAAACAUUAAUGUGCUCACAUCAUUUAGGAGACGCUUAUACUCAAGUCUUAGAGUAAAGCUCCUCCUAGAUGUGACAACCCCCUAAGAGGGAUAAACUAACCUUAGGUUUUGUAGUAGAAGAUUUCAAGUAGGUGUAGUAGUGGUGCAUGCUCAUUGUUGAUAAAGAUCAUCUUUGAGUUGGGAGCAAUCCUAGUUGUUUCUUACCCUUCUCACCUACAUGGGUUAGUCCCAAAGCAAAAGGAAUGUAUGCAAGAAUAUCUAUGGACAUGGCAUGAAGUGCAUGAGAGGUGAUGUAAAAAUAUGCAUUAAUUACCUUGUCCUUUGCUUACCUUUGAGGUAAUGUGUGACUCCUUGAACUAAUGCAUAUGGUUGGAGUUGAUUGCAUAUAGUUCUUGCCAAAAUGAAUAAGAGUGAAUUUGAUUGGUAGAGUCACCCCCUCAAGAAGUUUCUAGUUCUUCAUCUUAGGGACCCACAUCAACUUGAUGGGGAUCCUUGGAGUUGUGAUAGCAGUAGAUGAGGUAGUGUUAGUUGUGUCCAUGGGAUUCCACUCGACCUUGGCUUGGGUUUCUUCCUCAAAUGAUUCAAUCUCCUCUUGAAGCUUUCCCUUGCCCUUGUGAUCUUGUGGUUGAAGGUCAUGUUGAGAGCUUGUUCCCUUGGGAAGAGUAGGAUCAUACUUUUCCUCUUGAGGAACGAACUUCGGUAUGGGAUAUAGACCUUCUUCCCAUUCAUCUCCGUUGGCAUUGAGGUAACCAACACCGUGCUUCUUCCGAUGUCCUCCUAGCUUGCGCAUAAUUUACUCGAAUUGCUAACUUUCGGCAAGACUCUUGAAGACACCUCUCUCUUCCUUUCCAUAAAUCAUUUUCUUUCUCAAGUGUAACUUGGCUAAGAGAAUCAUUAGUGGAAUCAAGAGAGCUACUAGAAACAACAUCAUUUGAUCUAACUUUAGCAUUUUGUUACUAGAUGAAGAAACUUUCUUGCAUUUGUUACUAGUGUUCUUAGGUUUGACUUGUGGAAUAAAAGUAGAUAAGAUUAAUCAUUUGAAUAGAUAAGAAUAACUCUUCUUCCGAAGAUCAUCAUUGAUUGCUCUUAGAAACUCAUGAUCUUGUCCUAAAUUUAGCUUCUCGAAGCAUAACUUCUCAUGAGUUCUUGCAAGCUCCCUUUGAUCUUCUAGAGUAGUUUCACGAGCUAACUUAAGAGUGUUAAAUACUUUAGUUAGUUGUUGAGUAUCUUUCUUAUCAUCAUCAUUCGAUUUCUCUUGACUAGCAUGAUUAUGUUCAAGUUCAUUUUCAAUGUUCUCACUAGUCUUAUCAAGGAGCAAGUCAUCUCCUCCUAACAAGUCAUCCUCAUCACUAUCAGAGUCAAAGUAAUUGGGGUGUGAUACCUUGGGGCCUUUUUCCAUGAAGUUGUUUCCAGUCCCUUCAUUUGGUGAAUCAAAUAAGUCAUAGGAGUUGGAGGAAACGAGUUCAAGACCGACAACACCUUCAUCUUGACUAUAGUCAGAGUUGGAGUGGUAGCUUCUCUCAGAUUGGUUGUCAGACUCGGAGCCGGAAAGCCUUUCACCAACAUGAUCUUGAUGUCUUGUUCUUGAGAUGCUCUUGGUGUACUUGUCCUUCCUCUCCAAUUCCUUUCCUCUCUGGGAGUGUCUUCGUUCAUAAUGAUCUUCUCUAAUCCUUCUCUUUGUGAGAGGUGACUCAUCUCUUGAGCUUCGUCUUCUAGGUGACUAUUCUCUUCUUUUGUGGGGAGCCGAGCACUCAUUGGAAUAGUGUCCUGGGUUUCCAUAGUUGUAGCAGUAUCGGUCACGACUAGACGAACGCUUCUCAUCAUGUAUUGAGCUUGAGCUUCUCUCCUUGCAUCUACUUUUGUAGAACUUGUUCAAUUUUAUGACCAUGAGGUUGAUCUCUUCAUUCGUAACAAAGUUGUCAUUUGAAGUAUCUUGAGUAUAACUUGAAACUCUGUAAGUACCGCUUGACUUGUUGUGCAACUCAUCUUUGUCCUUGAGUGACAUUUCAUGAGCAACAAUCCUUCCAAUAGCUUCAGUUGGCUUGAGAUCCUUGUAGUUUGGCAUCAUUUGAAUUAAUAUACACACGGUGUCGUAUCUUCCAUCCAAGGCUCUAAGUAUAUUCUUGAUGAUGAAUUAGUCGGUCAUCUCUUCACUUUCUAAGUCGGCAAUCUCAGCGACUCCCUCACCAUCCUUCAUCUUGAACUUGUCAAGAUGACUUUGAGGCACAUCCAACUUAGAUUCCAUGACAAAAUCAGCACCUUCGUGCAGAUGAAUCAAAGUAUCCCACGUGCAGAUGAAUCAAAGUAUCCCAAAUUUUCUUUGCAUUCUCAAGGCUUGAGAAUUUUAUUGCAACAUGUUCAAUUCUUCCGAUGUCGCAUCACGAUCCGGUUCCCUUGCUUCUCCAAAUAAAUCACCUUGCACACCAACACGAAUAACAGCCCAAACGGUAGGAUUAUGACCAAGAAUAUGCAUUUUCAUCUUAUGCUUCCAACUAGCGAAGUUUGUACCAUCGAAAUAUGCACCUCUACAGUGAUAAUUUCCCUCACUAGGCGCCAUACUCUCCUAGGUUGUGAAACCAAUGCAAUGGAGGCCAAAACUUUGAUACCACUUGUAGGAUCGAAAGGAUGUCUAGAGGGGGGAGGGUGAUUAAACUACUUGACAAGAUCAAAACUUAGCCUUUUCCCAAUUUUAGUUGUGGUCCAGUUUUAGAAACUACGAGUGGUCAAGUUCAGCCUACACAUGCAUAUCUAAGAGUAUAGAAGCGGAAAGUAAAUACAUGCAAAUGUAAUGUAGAGGGUAAGGUAGGAAGAUCAAACACAAAGGUUGACACAACUAUUUUUGGCGUGGUUCCGAUAGGUGGUGCUAUCAUACGUCCACAUUAGUGAAGACUUGAACCCAUGGAGGGUAAUGACUGCGAGAGUCCACGGAGGGCUCCACCCAUAAGGGGUCCACGAAGAAGCGGCCUUGUCUAUUCUACCAUGGCUUACAUCCACACAGGAGACAAGACUAGCCUCACUCACGGUACAUCUUCAUGAACUAGGCGAUCUCGUUGCCCUUACAAACUUCUUGGUUCAACUCCACAACACGAAGUAGGAGGAUCCCAAGCGACACCUAACCAAUCUAGGAGGCACCACCCUCCAAAAUGUAAUAGAUGCGGUAGAAUGAUGAACUCCUUGCUCUUGUGCUUCAAAAGAUAGUCUCAUCAACACUCAAUCACUCUCUCACAUAUUUGGCAUGGGUAGAAGAGAUUGAUCUUGUGGAAAAAACUUGGGGAGCCUACAGAUCAAGUUUCAAAUUGUUGAAUUGGAGUCUCUUGAUCUCAACAGAUCAGUAGGUUGCUCUCUCUCAGAAAUAUGGAUCUCGCAAGUGGGUGUAUGUUCUGAGUGCUUCCUCUAUGAAAUUGAGGAUGUGGAGGGGUAUAUAUAGGCAUCUCCCAAAAUCCAACCGUUACAACAUUAUUGCCCAACUCGGUGACAUUGAAAGGAAUCUUGGUGGUAUCGAGUUGCACUAAAUGUGGCAACUUUUGAAUUCUCGAUGAGACCAAUAUAUGAUCUCGGUGGUACCGAUACGAUGACCUAGACCAGUUUCCAAAUCUCAGCGAGACCGGCUCCAAUCUCGGAAAUUCUGAUUCUUGGAAUUUUCAUAACAGAAAGUUGGUCACUGAAUCUCGGUGGCACUGAUAUGAAAGUUGGUGGUACCGAGAGAUUAGGGUUUGGCAAAGGAUCUCUCUGGUGGAAAAUCAGUAGGGUCGAGUGGAAAAUAUUGGUGGCACUGAUUUUGCUGGUUUAGCUUUGGACAAAGAUAUAUUGUGGGAGAAUGGCUGAGUAUUUUUGGUGGCUAUCUCUAUGCACUUGAUCAACCAAUUCAUCAUAAUACCCCACCCCUUUUAAUAGUAUUGGGUUUCCUAUGGACUGAAAGUGAUUUCUCACAAAUGUAAAAUGUAGAGUCUUCUUGCUUGAAGCUUAAGCCAAUCCUAUUCCUUCCUUCAUCAAGGGGUUUCUCCUCACAAUCCUGUAGCCAAGGAAUCUUUGAAUUUUUUCCGAAAUAUACUUUGAUAAGCUCAUUAGUCCAAUGAUGCAUAUGUUUUGAUCAAUUAUCACGACCACCUUAGGGAACAAUUGUGCUUUCAGAGAGUUUCACCCCUCACAAACUGUUGUCGUUGCCACCAUAUAAACUAAGAAGCCACUACAAUCAGUUAUGAUGUUGGCAGCUCCCCUACUUUGGAUUGGUUUCUCUCUAAAACCUCAAUAGUUACAGAUCCUGACCGGUCCUCACAAACUGCCUUAUGGAUCACAUCUUUCACUCCAAGCUUUUUCCAAAUUCUAGAAGCACAACAAGAGGUGAAUAAGUAGUUAGAUAUCUUCAAACCCAACAUUGACUAGUAACAUGUAUGUGACAGCCAGUGAGCACUCCAAAGCAUGGUCGAAUUCCCCUCAGAACCUUCCAUGCAAAGGGUUUAACUUUGCGACAAACUCGAAGCCUUCAAGUAUGUUGUGUGUAAGUGUUAAACAUAAGAAAGUUGUUAAACUAAAUUGUGUUCUUAAUUUGUGCUAUAUAACUAGAUAUUGUGCCUUCUAUGAUACUACAAUUACUGUUAAACUGAAAAGCCCGCCACGACAACCAAAAAUGUUGACGUGUUCACUUGGCCUGACAAACAAUACUAGUGGCGGGCAUGUAUAAUAAACUGCCACUGGUACAAACAUUAGCAGUGGUGGACGCCCUGCCUGCCACUGAUGACUGGUUAGUAGCGACAGACACCCUUCACAAUAACCCUGCCAUUGGUAGGCAUUUUGUGUCUGCCACUGCUAGCCUGUUCUCCAGUAGUGACAAGGGUUUUCCUCCAAGACUAUAUCAUUCAUACCUAGUAUGCGUAGGAGUUAUCACCCGAUUUAAUGCAUGCAUGAUAGCAUGAAUCCUUUAGGGAUAAUUUGGAAGCAAGGUAAAGAAAAUGAGGGUAGCAAAUCCUCCCUUAUCACAUGAAUUUAAACAUCCCAUGUUAUUCACUUUAUUAAGUUGCCCCAUUUCAUUAAGUAAAAUUGUGCCCCUCAAAUUCACAAGAUUCCAAAGUUGUGGGAAUGAAAAGUACAAUGAGACGUCCAACUAAAUCAUAUAAUGUUUGUGAAUUUUGAAUCAAAGUUUUUUGAUUGUGCCACAGAAAGAACAAGAAUAUUAUUUACACUUUGUUUGAGCCAAUGCAAUUUUUCUUAUGUAAUGCAAGCAAAAUUGAAUCUGAAGGAGAAAAAUUUCCAAUAGGAUACGACUUUGGGGAUCAAAUAACACCCAUAGUAAAAAAGCAUAGGUCUAUUUAUAUCACAUCUAUAUUAUCUCACAUCUAAGUUAUGACAUCAGCGAAAGUCAAUGCUUUUCCAGCCCACCGCAUUUUCUUAUAUUUAUUUUUUUGCGACAUUUUUUCAUUCGUUUUUUUAUUGGAGCGUGCUAAAAAAUGCAAUAAGACUUGCCUAUGAAUCGAACUCAAGACUAGAUGGUGGUAGUUGAGAGCUCCCACCAGUAUAACCAUUACAUGCAUUUGAUAAAUUCUAAGCGGCAUAUCUUUAAGAAAAUACAACAGAGUUGAUAUUAGAAGAAAUUUUCAAGAAAAAUGUAAAAAAUUUUAAAUGUAAAAUAUUUCUGAAAACCAAAGAAAACUUGAAAUUUCCAAAGUAUUUUUCAAAUAUAAAUAAAGUUUGUAAUGCCAAACAUUUUUUGAAAAAUUAGAAAACAAUUUGAUAUUCCGAUUUUCUUAAAAAAGAUGACACUUUUUGAAAAAUUCCCGAACAAUUUAUAAAUCAGGUACACCUUUUAAAAUUCCAAUUCCUUUAAAAAACAUGGUUAAAUGAAUAUAUUUUUAUUGUAAUCAUAACUUUUCAACAAAUGUUUUUUUGCACCAUUAAAAGAAUGAGGGUGCAAAGAAUGUUCAUGUAGUUCACAAGAAUGUCCGUGAUGUUUAAUAAAAAUGUAUUAUACAAUGGAAAAUAAUCAUAACAUUCAAAUAAUUAUUAUUUACAAUCUUUUAAAAGAAACUUCACGCAUUUAGAAAAAUCAAAACAUUUUCUAGAAAAAAUAUUUGUCCGAUGUAAAAAAAAUGUUCACGUAUUUUUUUAAAAAUCAUACAAUUUAGAAAAAUGAUUUAAAAAAUGUUUACCAUGUAUUCUAAGAAUGCUUGGGCCUGUACUUGGAAAAAAAUAUUCAUCAUGCAUUUUUAAACAAUGGUAUGUGUGUUAAAAAAUGUUCCUAGUGUAUACAUGAAAAUGUACAAUGUGCAUUACAAAAGUUGACAUGUAUUUGUGAAAGCUAAAUUGCUCCCUAAGGUGGUUUUGAUAAUUAGUCACAUCAUAUGCAUCAUUGGACUAGUGAGUUUAUUCAAAUGCAUUUAAAAAAGUUCAAAGAUGCUUUGGCUAUAGGAUUCUGUGGAGAUACCCCUUUGAUGCAAGGAAGGAAUAUGAUUGGUUCAAGCUUCAAGCAAGAAGACUCUACAUUUUAUACUUUGUGAGAAAUCACUUUGAGUCCAUAGAAAAGCCAAUACUAUUAAAAAAGAGUGAGGUGUGAUGAUGAAUUGGUUGCUCAAGUGCUUAGAGAUAGCCACCAAAAAUACUGAGUCACUUUCCGACAAAAUAUAUAUGUCCUAAGCCACAUAAGCAAAAUCGAUGCCACCAACAUUUCCUACUCGUCCAUACCGAUUUUACACUUAGACAAAUUAUAUGCCAAACCCAUCAUCUCGGUACAACCAACAUUCCUAUCGGUGCCACCGAGAUUUGGUGACCAACAUUCUGUUGAGAUGAUUUCAAGUUUCGGAUUUUUUGAGUUUGAAUUUUGUCUCACCGAGUUUUGGAAACCAGUCUAGGUCAUCGUAUCGGUACCACCAAGAUUCUUAUAUCGGUCUCACCGAGAAUUCAAAAGUUGCCACAUUUAGUGCAACUUGGUACCACUGAGAUUCUUUUUGGUGUCACCGAGUUGGGCAAUACUGUUGUAACGGUUGGAUUUUGGGGGAUGCUUAUAUAUACCCCUCCACCUACCUCUCAUUCGUAGAGGAAGCACUCAGAACACACUUACACUUGUGAUAUCCAUUUUUCUGAGAGAGAGACACCUACUCAUGUGUUGAGAUCAAGAGAUUCCAAUCCAUUCAUUUGAACCUUGAUUUCUAGCCUUCCCAAGUUGCUUUCCACAAAAUCAAUCUCUCUUACCCAUGCCAAAUCUAUGAGAGAGUGAUUGAGUGUUGAGGAGACUAUCUUUUGAAGCACAAGAGCAAGGAGUUCAUCGUUCUACCACAUUGAUUACCUUUUGGAGGGUGGUGCCUCCUAGAUAGGUUAGGUGUCUCUUGGGAGCCUCUUACUUCGUAUUGUGGAGUUGAACCAAGAUGUUUGUAAAGGCAAGGAGAUCGCCUACUUCAUGAAGAUGUACCGUGAGUGAGGCUAGUCCUUCGUGGGCGGAAGCCGUGGUGGAAUAGACAAGGUCACUUCUUCGUGGACCCCUUGUGGGUGGAGCCCUCCGUGGACUCUCGCAGCCGUUACCCUCCAUGGGUUGUAGUCUCCACUAACAUGGACGUACGAUAACGCCACCUACCGGAACCAUGCUAAAAAUCUCCGUGUCAACCUUUGUGUUUGAUCUCCCUACCUCACCCUCUACUUUUUUUUGAUGGGAAACUGUAAGCAAAACCCCUCACAACGAGUUUUUUUUGAAAUAAUAAGAACUCAAAUUCGCGCCCGUGGGGACUUGAACGUGGGUGGCUGGGUUGUACAUCUACUCCACUAGACAAGUGAGCUAGGCUCACUUCCUUUACUCUUGCAUGUUUUACUUUCCGCUGCUAUACUCUUAGAUAUGCAUGUGUAGGGUUUACUUGACUAGUUAUAGUUGCUAAAACUGUCCCACACUUCAAAUUGGGAAACAACUAAGUUUUUAUCUUGUCAAGUAGUCUAAUCACCCCGCCUCUAGACAUACUUUCGAUCCUACAAUUUGGAAAAAUAACUAUAUAGGGGUACUGGGUUGGGAAUGAUUUGCAUGAGGAGAGUGGACAUGCAACUAUGUCGGACAUGAGCUGCAUGACUGAGUCGGGUGGGUUUACGUGUUGGGGUGGAAUGGAACUAGAUAGGGGCCGAGGCAAGUUGCGUGUUGAAAAACAAAACACAAGCUUACUUGUGCAUUAAGGGUGGACUUGCAAUUGGAAGAAGAGCUAGGUUGUGAGUGGAGGAUAGACUUACAUAUGGGACAACUACAAAUUGAGACCAAUUGCGUGUCAAUGGUUGACUUAAAACUGGGAUAAAACAAACUAUGGUUCAAGUUGCGAGUUAACGGUGGAUUUGCAACUAGGAUGAUGACAAAAAUAUAGGCUCACUUGCGAGUCAUUUGUGGGCUUGCAACUGGAAUAAAACAAACUAUGAGACUAGUUGCGAGUCGAUGUUGGACUUAUAACCGAGACAAGCAUAUAAACUAUGAUACGAGUUGAGAGUUGAGAGUAAACUUGCAAUUGAGAUGAAAAACAAAACACAUACCCAAUUGCGUGUCGAGGAUGGACUUGUAACUGAGAAAACAAAAAUAUGGGCCCGACUGCGAAUCGAGGAUGGACUUGCAACAGGGACAACAAAAAAACUAUGAUCCCACUUGUGAUUCGAGGACAAACUUGCAAUUGAGGCCCCUACAAGUACAAAGCCCUUAGUUACGAGUUGAGGUUGGAUUCGCAACUCGGGAAACUACAGGUACAGAAAGCCCAGUUGCGAGUCGAGGAUGGACUUGGAACCUUGAAAAUACGACUACAAAAAAGCCUCUGUUCCGAUUUGAGGGUGGACUUGCAACUGGGGCAACUACAUGUACAAAAAGGUCCCAGUUGUGAGUCGAGGGUAGAUUUUCAACUACGAUAACUACAGGUACAAACCUCGAGUUACGAGUCAACGGUGGACUUGCUACUAGGGUACCUAAAAUUACAACGCCUCGAGUUACGAGUCGGCGAUGGAGUUGAAGCUGGUGCACCUACAACUACAAAGCCUCGAGUUGCGAGUUGAGGAUGGACUUGCAACUAGAUUAACUACAAAGUACAAAAGAAAACCAGUUGUGAGUCAAGGGUUGACUUGCAACUAAGACAUCCACAGUUACACAAAAACCCCUAGUUGCAAAUCAAGGAUGGACUUGCAAGUGGAGCAACAAUAGGUACAAAGCCAGUUGUGAGUCGAUGGUAGACUUGCAACUUGGCCAACCACAACUACAAUACCUUCAAAAGAAGGGUGAAACUAUGAAAUUGGGAUGAAACCAACUAUGGGACCAGCUGCGUGUCGAGGGUGGACCUGGAACCGGGAUAAGAAAAAAAGUACAAGCUCAAGUUGUGAACCGAUGAUGGGGUUGAAACUCGAACAACUACAGGUUCAGUUACGAGUCGAUGAUGACUCCAAACUUGCACAACUACAAAACUAGGAGCCCAGUUGCGAGUCAUGGGUUGAUUUGCAACUAGGAUAAAACAAACUACUGGACCAGUUGCGAGUCAAGGGUGGACCUGCAACCGGCAUGAGAAACUAAACACAGUCUGAGUUGCGGCUCAAGGGUGGGCUUGAAACUGCUAUGAAACAAACUUCAUGCCUAGUUGCGAGGUCAGGAUGUACUUGUAACUGGGACAACUACAUGAAACUAAGAUAUGAGUUGCAAGUCGAGGGUGGACUUGCAACACGGACAAACUACACAAAACUACGAUACGAGUUGUAGUCGCGAGGGUGAACUUGUAACUGGGACAACUACAAAACUACGAGUCGAGUUGCAAUUCAAGUAUAUCAUUGCAAUUGGGAUGAAACAAACUACGGGCCUAAUUGCGAGUCAAGGGUGAACCUGUAACUGGGAUGAAAAACUACACAUAGACCGAGUUGCGAGUCAAGACUAGACUUGCAUCUAGGAUGAAAUAAACUACGGGCCUAGUUGUGAGUCAAGUGAGUACUUGCAACUCGGGAAAAUACACAAAACGACUACGAGUAGCGAUUCAACAGUUGACUUGCAACUCGGACAACUAAAUGAAACUACGAUAAGCGUUGCGAGUCCAGGGUAGACUUGCAGCUGGGACAACAAUAAGGCUAUGGGCUCAGUUGCGAUUCGAAGGCAAAUUUGCAAUUGGGACAACUACGAAACCAUGAGCCCAGUUGUGAGUCAAGGGUGAACUUGCAACCAGGAUGAAACAAACUACAUGCCUAGUUGCGAGGCAAGGGAGGACUUGCAACUCGGCAAGUACACAAAACUACCAUACUAUUUGGGAGUCAAGGAUGGACUUGCAACCGAAACAAUAACAAACUACGAGCCCAGUUACGAGUUGAAUGUGGACUUGCAACUAGGAUGAGAAAAACACAUAAUGAUUUAUGAGUUUAGGGUAAACUUGUAACUAGGAAAACUAAAAAUUCAUUUACGAGUUAAAGAUGGACUCUACAAAUUCUCGGUCAUGCCAAAAAAACACACAACGAAAAUGAACAAAAAAUAUAAAGGGAUCGCGCCUCCCAAGCAACGAUAAAAGUAACAUGAGAACAUGCGAGCAUAAAACAAAAUGGAACAAGAGGACGCGCGACAAGAGAGAAAGAGCUGACACGGACGCACAUGAUCGACUUUGUGCAAACAUCAAACAAAUCAGAUGAUUAUAACUUGAUAAGACAUCACUAAAUCUCAUCUAAAUAAGAUUUAGCAAAUCUAAAAAAUAUCUAGUUACACUCUCCUCUACUACACAGUCAAACUAAAAUAAACAUAUAACCCACAAAAAGCUAGUACACACAACGUAAAAGGGCACACUAAAAAAAGUCAUAUAUGACCUCACUGCUUAACGAGGAGCGAAUGAAAAACACGACACAUCAACAAUGAAAGUGAAUCAUAAGCAUAUGAAUCAGAUGAGACGUUGUUAACUCACAUUUACUCCCUCCGUACCUAAAUAUAAGUCUUUUAAUAUAUUUCAUUAGGUGUCUACAUACAAAGCAAAAUGAAUGAAUCUAUACUCUAAAACAUGUCUAUAUACAUUUGUAUGUAGUCCAUUAGUGCAACAUCUAGAAAGACUUAUAUUUAGGAACGGAGGGAGUAGAUGAGAAUUAGACGUGAGUUAACAAAAACAAUAAAAAAAGAAACCCCUGGAUCAUACCGUAGUGACCCACCAAAUGACGCACGUAGAAGUAGGUAAGUAAGUAAGUAUCUUGGAUUACCUGCGAUAGUGGGAGCAGAUAGGAGUGAAAGCUUUGAAUACUUUUGUGACAAAAUCAAGAAGCUUCUGAAGGGGUGGAUGGAAAAGCAACUGUCAACAGGAGGGAAAGAAAUCUUGUUAAAAGCAGUGGCUCAAUCCAUCCCUGUCUUCGCUAUGUCAGUUUUCUGUUUGCCUAAGGGAACUUGCAAGGAUAUCACGGAUGUAAUUGCUCAGUAUUGGUGGGGAGAUGAUGAAGAAAACAAAAAAAUGCACUGGUUCUCGUGGUGGAAACUAUGCAUCCGAAGUGUGAUGGUGGCAUGGGUUUCCGCGAUCUUCACUCUUUUAACUUGGCCCUUCUUGCGAAACAAUGUUGGAGAUUGAUCACAAGGUCGGAGUCCAUCUGUGCUCGCAUCUUGAAGGCAAAAUACUACCCAAAUACAGACUUGCUACACGCUGGACCAAAGAGCGGAUCUUCGUUCACAUGGCAAAGCUUGAUGGCGGGCUUGACUGCGUUUAAAAGAGGGUACAUUUGGCGAAUUGGUUCGAGGGAAAAUGUAAGUAUAUGGAAUGAUCCAUGGAUACCCUCAAGCCCGGACAGAAGGGUGAUAACUCCUCGGCGGCAGAUUCUGAUUUCGAGGGUGGUAGAGCUCAUUGAUCCAGUCACCGGCCAAUGGGAUGAACAAUUGAUACGAGACAUCUUUUACCCAGUCGAUGCAAACAGAAUCUUGCAGAUACCUUUAAAUUUUCAAGCAUUUGAUGACUUCAUUGCGUGGCACCUCACAAGGAAUGGUAUUUUCUCGGUGAGGAGUGCUUAUCAUGAACAAUGGUCACAUAAGCUCAGGGGUCAAUCCCUUGUGAAUUCAGUGUCCACCAGUACUAUGCAGGCAGCUAUUUGGAAGAAGCUCUGGGAGUUACAAGUGCCAUGGAAAAUACAGAUUUUCUUUUGGCGGGCGUUGCGUGGAAUUGUACCACUAAAAUCCAUUCUUGCUAAUAAGCACAUCCCUAUUGAUGGGGAGUGUCCGGUGUGCCAUAGGGGACCUGAAGACAUGCGGCAUAUGUUAUUCCAGUGUGAUUUGGCGAGAAGGUUGUGUGCUGGACUAGGGCUGAUUGAUCGUAUUGAACAAGCAGUUCAAGUGGAUCGCUCAGGGUCAGCCAUCUUAGAAUUUCUCCUACUAGAGCUGGACCAACCAAUGUCGAUCAUGUCAAGUAUUAAUGACAAAGAGGUAAUAGCGGCUGGCUGCUGGUAUCUCUGGUGGCUCCGCCGGCGACACACCCAUCAUGAUUCUUGCCCUCCAUCCUUCAGGUGGCAUACCUCAAUUCUAGCAAUAGUGGGAAAUUACAUAAAAUCUUUAUCAAAGAAGAGGGAACCGGUGGAACACAAGUGGAAGAGACCAGAGGCAAGAUUUAUAAAGCUAAAUGUGGAUGCUUCAUUCCAUUCAGAUGAAGGAUCGAGUUCUACUGCAGGUAUCUUACGAGAUGAAAAGGGUGGCUUUAUUGCAGGGUUUUGCAGAUUCAUUCCCUUUGCAGCUGACGUUGUCACGAUUGAAGCAAUGGCAAUGCGAGAUGGUUUACAUUUGGUGAACUCCUUGGGCUUUAACAGGGUAGAAGCGGAAUCAGAUUCUUUGAGCGUCAUCAAGUGUUGCCAAGGGCAAGAUCAGUGGUGGGAUGCAGCAGCGGCUGUCUUUGCUGAGUGCAUAGAUAUGGCUACAUCUAUAGGAAAGGUCAUCUUUUCUCAUUGUUUUCGUGAAGCUAAUUCAGUAGCUCAUGAGCUAGCAAAGUUUAGUUUCUGUAAUAAAGUUGAGCACAAUUGGACUAAUGAACCUCCUGAGUUCUUAGUUAGCCAAUUGAUGAAUGAUGUUUUGAUUAUUUGAGUUAAUAAAGCUAGCCAUGAUGGCCUUUCCUCAAAAGAAAAAAGGAAACGCAUGUACGCGACACUAGAUGCAGCAACAAAAUAAUCCAUGAUUAAGAUUUGAAAAAAUGUAAAACAAACAGAUGAGAGUAUGUUUUUCAUGAAUAUUAAAAAAAAUGGAAAACAAGAAAAUACAAAUAUAAAUAAAAGAAAACCAGGAAACUAAAAUACUUGAUAAUUUGAAACAAAUAAUAAAACAGAAAAAAGAAAAAGAAAAAGAAGAAACAACAAAAGUAAUGCGGCAGCCGAUAUAGGCUACAGCCCAUAUAACAAGAAGAACCUAUAGGUACGAGGGCAGCUACCUAACAUACCGUUGGCGAUCCUAAAAAAAGUGAUCCUCAAACGCAACAUUCGUUUCUUCAAAAACAGGGUUGGGGGGGGGGGGAUAACAUAGUGUAUGAAACAGAACUACUAGACGGAUGAAAAAAGCAAAUCAAUCCGUGGUUGGAUGAUUGGAGAGACAGUGAUAUCCCAGCACAUCAGGGUUUAAAUCCUGAUGCUACACUAUUUUUAAAUUUAUUUCAGGAUUUCCGACAAUAUGCUUUCAGUGGGAGGAGACAUUCCCGUCGAGGAUAAGAUGCCUACAGUGACUUUGUAAAUCUCAAGACGAUAUACUCGCUCAGUCUUUGAGAGAUGUUCAUAGGGAUAAGAUGUGUGUAUGUUCGGUUUAGGAGUUAAAUCUGAGAUAAGUAUUUUACAUCUAGAUGUGAAAUAGCAAUUUCAAAAAUUCAUAUGAAAAAUCUCUGAAUGAAAAAGACUCAUUAACUUAGAAACUCCAUGCAAAAAUACAAGGCUAACUUUUUUUCUCUUAAAUAAAAAAGAAAAAUAGAGAAAAAUGACGGAGGAUAACACUUGGCAGUGGGCGGGUGAAACACAUCACAAUUUUAUUUUCAAAUUGAUCUCUAACCAGGAAAAUACCCCGCGCAUACAACCAAGACCACGCACUCACCCCAUCGCAUGGCCUCCACACGCCUUGUCGAUAUCCAUGGUGGCAUCUAGCGCCGGCCGGGUGGCACGGAUCCCCCUUCACUCCCUCAGCGUGUGAACGUCGUCGCUCCAGCCCAACCGUUGCUCGUGUUCAGGAUAAGCUGCCCAGCUCGUCCGCCCUUCUUAUUGCCGCUGCUUCUCAGCUCACACGCUCCAACACUAUCCUCUCGUGUCUCGUCGAGCUAUCUGUCCACGGAGUAGUACCUUCCCGAGCUAGCUCGCAGCUCCGCCGCAAUGGCCACCGUGGUGAGCAGCCUCCGCUUGCCCUUCUCCGUCUGCGCCGCCGCCCCCUCGGCGCCCAUGGCAUCCCGCGUCGCGCUCCCGCUGUCGUCGACGGCUGCCAGGGGCAUGAGGCUCCGCGCGCAGGCGACGUACAAGGUGAAGCUGAUCACGCCGGAGGGCGAGGUGGACCUCGAGGUCCCCGACGACGUCUACAUCCUCGACCACGCCGAGGAGGAAGGGAUCGACCUGCCCUACUCCUGCCGCGCCGGCUCCUGCUCCUCCUGCGCCGGGAAGGUGGUCUCCGGCCAGCUGGACCAGUCCGACCAGAGCUUCCUCGACGACGACCAGAUCGAGGCGGGGUGGGUGCUCACCUGCGCCGCGUACCCCACCUCGGACCUCGUCAUCGAGACACACAAGGAGGAGGAGCUCACCGCUUGAAUUCACUGAUUUUGUGUAUUUCCAUCCGUUUCCGGCGUGCGCGUGUAUAUGCACGAUGCAUGAACUGUAUCAGGAUAUUGAGGAGUUACAGAGUAAUUAGUACUUGCUG
rnacentral:lncRNA from 1 species